rnacentral:lncRNA from 1 species
AACCAUAAGACUAGAAAGGAUGAGGAUUUGAAAUAUAUUGUAUUACUCCCACAUGCUCCUGGAGAACAACAAAGAAGUUUACACAUGUUUAAAAGACAGAAUUUGACUGCCUUUGGGUGGGGGGAUGAUAUUUGGACCAAUGGUUCUAGGGAGUUCAUGAUAUCAUCACUUGUCUGCUUCAUAAAUUUAUAUGUUUCUGCUCAUGAAGCAGCUUCAGGAUUUGAGAAGGUUUGCUUUCACCACAAGAUGUGAGUUGAUUCCGUGGAUUAUCAGUGGUAGCCUCUUCUUCAUCCCAACUCAGUGAGUUCUGCAAUGAGGAUGCUUUGGAUAUGAUCAUAUCUAAAUUCUUUUAUCUUGGCUCGGUAAGCUGGGAAAUGAGGAUGGUUCGGAUGGCUUGGAUGACUGAUUCAUGUACACUCACACACUUAAGUGGGAAGUGAGAUAAAGGAAGGCGUUUUCACUGCAGGGGAUUGUGAUACCUCCCAUGGAAUGAUCAUAUCCGAAUUCUUCUUCAGCUUGACUCAACAAAUCCAGGAAUAAAGGCUCAUUCAAAUAUGAUAUUGGAAUCACAAAUCGCUUCUUCUGGCUCUCCCCAACAUAGACUGCAAAGUAGCCUUUUGGGAUAUCUAAGGUCUUUGAAUCUGCUGUCUGGCUUGAACUAGAUAGAGAUCGAAUGAGACUUCUCUUUGCAUUAACAAUUGCAGGCAACCGGAAACCCAUGGUCUUAUACAUGCUCAAAGUACAAAAGAAGAAGAAAGGAAUUCAAAGGACCUGAAUUUGGAAAGCAGAGAAAGCUAUGCUUGAGAAGGUGAAGACUUGAGUUGCUCAUGAUGAACUUGGUCAUGUGUAUAUAUAGAUCAAGAGUAUCCAGAAAAUCAACAGCUACAUGAAACAAUUGGUGAAGAGGCACUGAGAUGGGCUCCAAUGAGGGACACUUGAUUGUGAGAAAUCACAUGGGUUUGUCGUCCGUCUAACGCAAUUUGUCCCCAAAAGAUUUCUCCCGGAACUCUUCCUUACCUGCUCUAGGUAACAGACAACAAAAGGACCACCAGAGAUGAUUCAAUCCAAAAGAAUUAUGUCUGUUAGGUAAGUAGCAUUUAUGCUUGAGACAUGCACUUCUCUUUGUUCACACUAAUUCAACUGACCACAUAAUCGGACUAGUUUACUACAAAUUUUCUUGAUUAGGUCUGCUAAUGAAUUGCCCUCUCACUUCAUCAAAAGACCAACAACACUGCAUAUGUCGUGGUCCUACCCAACACUGAUACAAUUGUGUUGUGUGGGAGCAGCAAUGCACCCUAUCAUGUGGCUUUGUAGUUUCGUCUCUGAUCUUCAGUCUCAGCAAACAAAGGAGGUAUUUAUUUCAUUUUGUUAGGCCAAUCCGGACUUAACCAGAAAACAGUAUUCAUUUAAAUAGUUGACAGUAAUUGAUCAAGAAAACUGAAGUUAAUAAAUUGAACUUAAGGUACUCUUUCUAUACUCAAUUUUUAAAAAACCAUUUUCCAUUGCCAGUCUUGUUUAGGCAAGUUCGGCCAAGAGCCUACUAAAAAACCAUUUUCCAUUGCUAGGUUGAUAAUUAAUCUCUUCUUGCCUUUGCUUAUGGCAACAAUUGAAGAUAUCUUAGAGGAUUAAUAUUUAUCAUACAUCUAUUCUUUUUUAUGAAAGACACGAUCGAGCUAGUAUCAUACACCUAUUCUUUGUGACAUACAUAAAUAUGGAGUAAAUCAAGAAAAUAGUCGUGUAUUAUUUGUGAUCCGAUGUAAACUUGGCUUUCACUCACUAGUGCAGGGAAUUCUUGCACAUAUAUUGUGCAAUUUUUUAACCAAAGAACCUUAGUGGCUCGGCUCAGUGCCUCGUUCUAUUCCCUCGUGAUGACUCUCCUUCUCAUUAUUCUUUCAGGGUAAAGAUUCCCAAUAGAACUGAUAAUAUUUUAUUUUGGAAGGAAUGUUAAAAAGUGGUGUACUUCAAGUUCAUGGUUCCAUUUGGCAUGAGGCACCGUGGAUAUAGGAAGUACUAAGUAAACCAUUAUACUUUCUUUUUUAUAGUAAACCAUUGAUGAUUUUAUUUUAUGACAGAGCUACAAGUAUAAUGAAAAAUAAGACAAGAAAGUGGAUCGGGAUUUAAAUUUACAUACAAGAAAGUCAUAGCAUCCAACCCAAAUAUGGAGAGGACCAACAUCUUUUAUACUACAAUGCUCCGAAUGUACUCUCAAUGAUUUCAAAAUUUCGAUCAUGAUUUUGGACUAAAGUUUUUCAACGUCCAUAGUGUCUUCGUUUGUCGGAUUCAUGAACUUUUUAACUUUAUGCUCAGAUCACAAGCAGCCUCAGGCUUACAGAUUGCUUCCUCUCAGCACAAGAUGUAAGUCGACUCAGUGGACGAUCAAGAAUAGCCCCGUUCUCAUCAUUACUUAGUGAGUUCUGAAAUGAGGAUGCUUAUACAUGAAUGAAUUUGGAUCAUAGUUUCUUUUCUUUAGUGUUCACUCAUACACUUAAGCGGGAAGUGAGAUGAAGGAAGGUGUCUUCACUGCAGGGGAUUGUGAUACCACCCAUGGGAUGAUCAUAUCCAAAUUCUUCUUCAGCUUGACUCAGCAAAUCCAGGAACAAAGGCUCAUUCAAGUAAGAUAUUGGAAUCAAAAACUGCGUCUUUUGGCUCCCCCCAACAUAGACUGCAAAAUAGCCUUUUGGGAUAUCUAAGGUCUUUGAAUCAGCUGUCUGACUUGAACUAGAUAGAGAUCGAAUGAGACUUCUCUUGGCGUUAACAAUUCCGGGCAACCGGAAACCCAUGAUUUAGUAUUCUCAAAAGGACAACCGGAUUAUAUUGAAGCUUGGUAUACUAUCUUUCUUCACCAAUCUGAAGAUUUUAGUCAUUCCUGGUUUAUUAAUUUUGAUAAUAAGUUCAAAAGCCCAUUCCCCUACUGGUUUCUUCACUGGUGGGAAAAAUAUGGUCCAGUUGAUGAAAUUCUUCCAGUAUCAGUUCUUGAGUUGAUCCGCCAUUUUACUAAAAGAGCCAAGUUUUCCCUAGUUGAUUUAUUCUUUCCCAAACAGUUGCUGUUUAUUGCCAGAUACAAGGUACCUUGGAUCCUUAAAUGGUCCUAUGCCAUCACCAAGGACACCCGUGUAUUUGCCCGCCAAUUCUCAAUCAAAUGAGUCAAGAAAUGAUGGAGUUCUGUAAGAAAGAAAUUGAAGAGUUGCUUAAUCUUGAGUCAAUCAAAAAGCACAAGACUGAUGGAAACAAUUUCCUGCAUAUUGGUCUUGUUCAAGUCGCCGUUAAGCCCCUAACCAGGUUAGGUUUGAAAGCCUCCAUACUGCUCUGUUUACGCGAUGCCCGGUUCACCGCGUUCAGUGACAGUACGCUAGGAGUUAUUGAGUCCAGUUUGUGUAACGGUCCAGUUCAUUUUGAUUGUUACCCAGACUUCACUGUAAGCCUUAGUGAUCCACAUAUAUUGAGAACCCUAACUCUCAAUAUUAAGACUGAAGGUUAUAAUGUCCUCCCAGGAACCCAACCUUUAGCAUUAGUUUACAGAAUUUACUAUAAGGUCACAGGAACCAAUAUGAACUUCCAGGCCUUAAACAAAAGCCCAAAGGAUCAGACAGUCCUGAUCCAGAGUCACACCUCAGACGCCCAUAUUCAAGUUCCCCAGACCAUUAAAUGGUCAGAAGUUGCCCUUCCAACAGAUUGGACCUUAGUUACCGAGAGCCAACCAGCUCCGAUUCAACGUAGUCUAAACAAUUUAGACUACAUCCAGCAGUACUUAGAUGGCACGGUUAAGAUUAGAUUCGAUAGCCAGCCUCUACAUAAGUCUAAAGUCCAGUUACACCAGUUACCAACCCCAGGUCAGUCACAAAGGCAUGCCCCAGCUAGGCACUCCUUUACUGCCUCAUCCUCAACUCUAGAACGAGACCUAGAGUUAGAAAAAACCAUGAUAGAUUUAAAGCUUGAGUCCCUGAGAAGAUCCUCUCAGGUAACCCAACCCUGCUACGGCACGGUUCCAGUAGAAGAAAAGUCAGAAUCCCCUGAGUCACCUACCCAGUCUGACUUCAUAGUUGAAAACCAGUUAAGAACCCUUAAUAGAAAAUUUAAAAUUGAUUGGUCACGUCUAAACAAACAUCUCAAAGCCCCUGAGAACCUGUCUAGACGAGAUAGUUAUCACCAAGCCUUUCCUGAUAGUAGCCGCCGCUUAGAAAUCUUUAGUGAAUGGAAAGAUUACAUGCGGUCAGCCCAAGUUGAAAUUUUCUACCUUGAUUUUGUUGAAAGCCGUUAUAUGUCAAAUGAUGAGUUAAAAACCUUAACUCAGCAAAAAUGGAAAAUGGCAGAUAAGUCUGUCGUUGAGUCUAGCCAUCCUCCAGUAGAAACCAUAAUUAUUGAGCAUAAAGAUACUCUUAUUCCUGCUACUCCUUUCAAAACAUUUGAAAGCAGUGACAGUAAUAGAAGAAUUCUUGAGCAAAAUAAUUAUACCAACCAGAGUCUAAUUGUUAUAGGAAAACAGUUGGAUACAAUUGAAACUAAAAUUGAUAAGAUAGGUUCUACAGACGUAGAGUCUAAAAAGAAAAUUGAAAAACCAAUUGUCCAGUUCCAGGAUCUUAGGUCUAGCCCGACCCUUAAGAUCACACCUACAAUAAAGAAAAUAGAAGACAUGUUAGCCCAGUUGACCCCUGCCAAAGUUGAAAAAACUGAGAAAUCUGGUCUUAAAACACUGGAUGCCUUUGCAGUAGAAAAUACCUCUGAGUCUGAGUCUUCAGAAGUAAGCAAUAUUUCUAAAAUUGAAAAAGCCUUUCAAACUUUAGAAAUCCAAGUUGAACCCAAAGUUAAGAAAUUAGAAAAGUUUGUCAGCCCCAGUAGUCUGACCAAAAAUUGGUAUCCCAGACCAACACCUCCUGACAUUCAAUUUGAAGAAAGAAACCUGCAGACCCAGUUCUCUGUUUCUUCCGACAAAUUGUAUGAAUGGAAUAUUGAUGGUCUCUCUGAGCAAGAGAUCCUCAAUAAGUUACAACAUAUGUCCAUGGUUGCCAAUAGUUAUAUCACCAAUCACAGUUUCAGACAGUCUGAAAUUGUCCCUCUGUUAGUCACAGGUUUCACCGGUACUCUCAGAAGUUGGUGGGAUAAACACCUGAGUCCUGAGUCUAAAAGCCGUAUAACCUUUGCUGUAAAACUGAAUGAUGACGGUCACCCUAUCUUUGACGAACGAAUAGGUCAAGGUAUAGAAGACGGUGUCAACACCCUGUUUUACACCAUAAUCGAUCACUUCAUAGGAACCCCUAGUAAUCAAACUGCUAGGAUCCAUGACCAGUUAAGUAAUCUUAGAUGCCCAAAGUUGUCCGAUUUCAGAUGGUAUAAGGAUGUCUUCAUCUCUAGAGUCAUGCUUAGAGACGAUAGUAACCAACCAUUCUGGAAAGAGAAAUUUGUUAAUGGUUUGCCAAACCUAUUUGCCCAUAAGAUCAGAACUACCCUCAGUAAUGAAUUAGGUCAUAUUGAUUGGGAUAGUUUAACUUAUGGUAACAUUGUAAGCACAAUUAAUCAAGUUGGCAUGAAAAUGUGUGUUGAUUACAAAAUCGGAAAACAAAUACAGUCCGAUAGGAAAUCAGCCAAAUAUGAGUUAGGAAACUUCUGUGAACAAUACGGUCUCAGUAGCAUUCCGCCCUCUAGAAGAAAUAAGUCUAAGCCAAGUCACCUUAGGAAACGUCGGUUUUCCUCUAAAAGAAAACAUUUUGCAGUUAAAAGUGAUAAUGAGUUUUAUAAGAAAAGAAAAAGUUUUAAAAGAAAAAAUUGGUCUAAAGCCCCCAGAAAAGCCCAGAAGAGUCGACCCAAAACCGAUAAGUCCAAAGUUAAAUGUUUUAAAUGUCAAAAAUUUGGUCAUUAUGCCUCUGAGUGUAAAGUUAAAGAUGCCAUUAAGCAGUUGCAGAUCUCAGAAGCUGAAAGAGAAAAGUUGAUCCAAGUUUUAGAGUUGCGAGACUCUGAAACUAGCAGUCCCGAAACCUUAGUUGCCAGCUCUGGAUAUGAUUCUGAACAAGCUUCAGAUUCCCAGCCUAGUUCCCCUGAUGUCCAAUUUGGUUGCACCGAUAAGUGUUGUAAUAGAUUAAAAUCUAUUUUUGUUCUUACCAAACAGGAAGAACAAGAAGAGUUGUUAAUCGACUUAAUCAGCCGAGUAGAAAACCCUGAGUUAAAGUCCGAUUAUUUGAAAAAAUUGCGAAAAGUCAUUAGUCAAGAAAGCUCUAGUAGUCCUAAACCGCAGCCAGUCAGUUUAGCCACUACUAUAGAAAAGUUCGCUCAGAAAAAGAAAGAAGUUACCUUACAAGACCUCCAGUUAGAAGUCAAAUUAGUCAAACAAGAAUUAGCCGAGUUAAGACAGAUUAGUAACCAGUUGCAGGUUGAAAACCAUACAAUCAGGCAAGACUUAACAAGUCUUCAAAAAGGCAAAAUGCCUUUAGAGCCCAGUAACCAGUCAGACAGCCCUGCUGGUUCUGACGAAGAAACCCCAGUUGUCAACCUAAUCAAACAAGUCAAUUUCCGAAAAUGGUAUUCGAAAGUUACAAUAGUUGUCAAAGAUUUUGAGUUUACCACAGUUGCCUUAUUUGAUUCAGGAGCCGACCUUAACUGUAUUCAGGAAGGUCUAAUUCCUACUAAGUACUACCAGAAGUCUAGAGAAACCCUAAGCACUGCUUCAGGAAAAUCUCUUCAGCUGAAUUAUGAGUUGCCUAAAGCCCAUAUUUGCCAAAACAGAGUUUGUUUUAAAACUUCGUUUGUUUUAGUUAAAAAUAUUACUGAUGAGGUUAUCUUAGGAUUACCCUUCAUAAGUCUGCUUUAUCCCUUCCAGGUAGAAUACGACGGUGUCAUUUCUACCCAAUUAGGUGAGAAAGUUAAGUUUAGUUUCCUUUCUAAACCUGAGUUGCAUAAUCUGAAAGCCUUACAGAAACAGUCUGUCUCUAGGUCCCUUCAGGUUGUCCAAAAAACUAACCAGUUGAAAUUUCUUAAGGAAGAAAUUAAGUUUAAGAGAGUUGAACAACAACUUGCCAGUCAGUCCUUACAGUUGCAAAUUCAAAAAUUUGAACAAAGAUUAAAAGAAGAAAUUUGUUCUGAGUUGCCCACAGCCUUUUGGUAUAGGAAGCAGCAUGUCGUCCGUCUUCCCUACAUCAAAACCUUUAGUGAGAAAAAUAUCCCCACUAAAGCCAGGCCAAUCCAAAUGAGUCAAGAAAUGAUGGAGUUCUGUAAGAAAGAAAUUGAAGAGUUGCUUCAAAAGAAAAUAAUUCGCAAGAGUAAGUCCCCCUGGUCAUGUCCUGCUUUUUAUGUCCAGAAAAAUGCUGAACUAGAAAGAGGUGUUCCCAGAUUAGUUAUCAAUUAUAAGCCCCUUAAUGCGGUCCUAGAAUGGAUUAGGUAUCCCAUACCUAAUAAAAGAGAUCUCAUUAAUCGGUUAGAAAAAGCAGUUGUCUAUUCUAAGUUUGAUUUGAAAAGUGGUUUCUGGCAAAUCCAAAUAGAUGAGUCAGACAGAUAUAAGACUGCAUUUGUCACUCCCUUUGGUCAUUACGAGUGGAAUGUAAUGCCCUUUGGUUUGAAAAAUGCUCCUAGUGAAUUCCAGAAUAUCAUGAAUGAUAUAUUCAAUCCUUACAGUCAGUUUUCGAUUGUUUAUAUUGAUGAUGUUCUAAUCUUUUCUGAGUCAAUAGAACAACAUUGGAAACAUUUGCAUAAGUUCCUUCAAGUUGUCAAACAAAAUGGUUUAGUUGUUUCUGCCAAAAAGAUCAAGUUGUUUCAAACCAAUAUUCGUUUUCUUGGUUUCAAUAUUUGUCAGUCGCAAAUCUCCCCAAUUGAUCGAGUUAUCCAGUUUGCUGAUAAGUUCCCUGAUCAAAUUCUUGAUAAGAGUCAACUUCAGAGGUUUUUAGGAUCCCUAAAUUAUAUCUCUGACUUCUAUCAGAAUCUGAGAAAACAGUGUAAGCCCCUAUUUGAUAGGUUGCAGAGUAAUCCUCCUCCUUGGUCGUCUACUCACACUGAAGUUGUUAAACAGAUUAAAUCCCAUGUCAAGACACUUCCCUGUCUUGGUAUUCCUUCAGUUGAUUCAUUCAAAAUAGUUGAAACCGAUGCCUCUGACAUAGGUUAUGGUGGCAUUCUUAAGCAAAAAGUCAGUCCUAGUUCUCCAGAACAAAUUGUUCGAUUCCAUUCUGGAACCUGGACUCAGUCGCAGCAUAAUUACAGUACUAUUAAAAAAGAAAUUUUAGCUAUUGUAUUAUGCAUUAGUAAAUUUCAAGAUGAUUUGCUUAAUCAAAAGUUUUUAAUCCGAGUUGAUUGUAUGUCUGCAAAACAUGUUUUAGAAAAAGAUGUUCAAAACAUUGCAUCUAAACAGAUUUUUGCACGAUGGCAAAGUAUAUUAAGUAUAUUUGAUUUUGAAAUUGAAUAUUUGAAAGGCAGUGAGAAUUCUGUUCCUGAUUUUCUCACUCGAGAAUUCUUGCAGGAUGCACAAUGGCUCCCAAGAAAGACAAACAAAAAGCAGUAGCCAGUCAACCCAAGUUGCCCAAGUCGCCCAAAUCAACCCAGUCAUCCCAGUCGCUCAGAGUCCUUCCUUCCUCCAUGAGUCAACCUAAGCCAGAGUUGCCCAGGCAAAUAGUUCCAUAUCCGGGUCACCCCCCAUUAUCAGUUGCCACUCCAAUUUCAGUUGCAAACAGAUUUUCCUCUUUAGGAUCCACAGUUGGCCAAAUUCGCCCCAGUUAUCAAUCCACCUUAAUUUCCAGUUAUGACCCCUUUGCAGUUGAGAUCCCUGCAGAGCCAUCAGUUGUGCCAUCAGUUGUCCACAAAAAAUCGUCUCCUUAUUUGCCUAAAAGUAAUUCUCAUUUAUUUGUCAUUGAGUCCACAUAUGAUAUUCAUGCAAAUCCAGUAGAAAUUGCCAAACACUAUUUCCCUCCUGGAUUUCAUUAUAUGCCCCAGAGUCCAUAUAAGUCCCUCAAGUACUAUAGAGAUAUAUUACUUGAGACACAAUCAGUUGAAAUUAAGCCGAUAAAGGAUCGGGAUCAUCCUGAAACCAUUCUUUAUCAUUCUUUGUAUAUUCAUAAAAUUGUAAGCCAAGAAUCUUUUAGUAGCCAUCCUUAUGAGUUGAAAACACUUAAGUCAAAAUUACAAUAUAAUUAUUCUGAUUAUAUUGAAGCCUGGUAUACUAUUUUCCUUCAUCAAUCUGAAGACUUUAGUCAUUCCUGGUUUAUUAAUUUUGAUAAUAAGUUCAAAAGUCCUUUCCCCUACUGGUUUCUUCACUGGUGGGAAAAAUAUGGUCCUGCUGAGGAAAUCUUGCCAGCCUCAGUUCUUGAGUUAAUUCAACAUUAUGCCAAAAAAGCCAAGUUUUCUCAAGUUGACAGAUUCUUCCAGUUGCAAAUGCUUUUUAUUGCCAGGUAUAAGGUGCCUUGGAUCCUCAAAUGGGGUUACAGAGUCACCAAGGAUACCCGAGUACUUGCCCGCCAGUUUUCAGUUAAGUGGUGGGACAAAUUUGAAGUUGAACGAAUUGCUAAAAAUGUCUAUAAUGACCUCCCCCGGGAGCCAGUUCCUCGCCAUGUAUCCCCUACAGGUUCAGUCCGAUCUUCCUUAUCAGUUGAAGGAAAAUCCAAGUCAGAACUUCAGGAGAUUGCACGCCAGCUGAUCAUCCAGGCCUCUCAAAUGGAUGAUGAUGAGGACAAUGAUUCUCCCCCAUCGUCUAGUUGCCAGCCCGUGCAGAGUCCUGCCAAGACAAAGUCAUGGUUUGAUGACAGCCAGGACCCCUACGAUGCCUACGAUCUAGGGGAAUCCUCUCCAUAAUUGCCUCAGUUGCCGACAAACAAGCCUCGUCAAAGAAGUUGCCAAUUUGUCAAAAGAAGUUGCCGACAGACCACUCUGUCAAAAGAAGACGCCAGAUCACGUGAAAGCAGCGGACAAAGCAUCUCUGCUUUUACUUUAGUCAGAUCACCGAAAAGUAGCAGACAAAGCACUGUUUGCUUUUUGACAAUCCACCGAAAAUAGCCGAAAGCAUCUGCAGGAGUCAAAGUUACCUCUACAGUUGCUAAAGUUGAAUCAGGUUGAACACCCGUGCCUCUAAGGCCGAAGCCUGCUUAUAAAGAGAAAAGCAACUAUGGUUUACAUAACUUAGGAUAACAAAUAACUCGGGUAAGCAACUGUAGGAGCACGGGUAUGCAACCCGAUUCAACUUUCAAUUUUGUCUUCUUGUGGUGAAUUCAGAAAUCAACCUUGUCGGCUGGGCUUUGUCAGCUGGCAGGGAAUCUUCUGCUUUCGGCUACUUUCGAUGAAGUGACCAAAGCGAAACAGUGCUUUGUCUGCUGCUUUAGAAAAUGCUUCAUGUGAUGGCUGCUUUCGGCAAAAGCAAACAGGGCUUUGUCUGCUGCUUUCACGUGGGGCAAUUAUGGAGGGAAUCCCUAAUCAGACCCGAGGUCAUAGCCGUCAUAGGGAUCCUGGCUGUCAUCAUACCAAGUCUUUGGCUUGGCAGGGCUCUGCAUGGGCUGGCAACUAGAUGACGAGGGAGAAUCAUUGUCCUCAUCAUCAUCCAUUUGAGAGGCCUGGAUGAUCAGCUGGCGUGCAAUCUCCUGAAGUUCUGACUUGGAUUUUCCUUCAACUGAUAAGGAAGAUCGGACUGAACCUGUAGGGGAUACAUGGCGAGGAACUGGCUCCCGGGGGAGGUCAUUAUAGACAUUUUUAGCAAUUCGUUCAACUUCAAAUUUGUCCCACCACUUAACUGAAAACUGGCGGGCAAGUACUCGGGUAUCCUUGGUGACUCUGUAACCCCAUUUGAGGAUCCAAGGCACCUUAUACCUGGCAAUAAAAAGCAUUUGCAACUGGAAGAAUCUGUCAACUUGAGAAAACUUGGCUUUUUUGGCAUAAUGUUGAAUUAACUCAAGAACUGAGGCUGGCAAGAUUUCCUCAGCAGGACCAUAUUUUUCCCACCAGUGAAGAAACCAGUAGGGGAAAGGACUUUUGAACUUAUUAUCAAAAUUAAUAAACCAGGAAUGACUAAAGUCUUCAGAUUGAUGAAGGAAAAUAGUAUACCAGGCUUCAAUAUAAUCAGAAUAAUUAUAUUGUAAUUUUGACUUAAGUGUUUUCAACUCAUAAGGAUGGCUACUAAAAGAUUCUUGGCUUACAAUUUUAUGAAUAUACAAAGAAUGAUAAAGAAUGGUUUCAGGAUGAUCCCGAUCCUUUAUCGGCUUAAUUUCAACUGAUUGUGUCUCAAGUAAUAUAUCUCUAUAGUACUUGAGGGACUUAUAUGGACUCUGGGGCAUAUAAUGAAAUCCAGGAGGGAAAUAGUGUUUGGCAAUUUCUACUGGAUUUGCAUGAAUAUCAUAUAUGGAUUCAAUGAUAAAUAAAUGAGAAUUACUUUUAGGCAAAUAAGGAGACGAUUUUUUGUGGACAACUGAUGGCACAACUGAUGGCCCUGCAGGGAUCUCAACUGCAAAGGGGUCAUAACUGGAAAUUAAGGUGGAUUGAUAACUGGGGCGAAUUUGGCCAACUGUGGAUCCUAAAGAGGAAAAUCUGUUUGCAACUGAAAUUGGAGUGGCAACUGAUAAUGGGGGGUGACCCGGAUAUGGAACUAUUUGCUUGGGCAACUCUGGCUUAGGUUGACUCAUGGAGGAAGGAAGGAUUCUGAGCGACUGGGAUGACUGGGUUGAUUUGGGCGACUUGGGCAACUUGGGUUGACUGGCUACUGCUUUUUGUUUGUCUUUCUUGGGAGCCAUUGUGCAUCCUGCAAGAAUUCUCGAGUGAGAAAAUCAGGAACAGAAUUCUCACUGCCUUUCAAAUAUUCAAUUUCAAAAUCAAAUAUACUUAAUAUACUUUGCCAUCGUGCAAAAAUCUGUUUAGAUGCAAUGUUUUGAACAUCUUUUUCUAAAACAUGUUUUGCAGACAUACAAUCAACUCGGAUUAAAAACUUUUGAUUAAGCAAAUCAUCUUGAAAUUUACUAAUGCAUAAUACAAUAGCUAAAAUUUCUUUUUUAAUAGUACUGUAAUUAUGCUGCGACUGAGUCCAGGUUCCAGAAUGGAAUCGAACAAUUUGUUCUGGAGAACUAGGACUGACUUUUUGCUUAAGAAUGCCACCAUAACCUAUGUCAGAGGCAUCGGUUUCAACUAUUUUGAAUGAAUCAACUGAAGGAAUACCAAGACAGGGAAGUGUCUUGACAUGGGAUUUAAUCUGUUUAACAACUUCAGUGUGAGUAGACGACCAAGGAGGAGGAUUACUCUGCAACCUAUCAAAUAGGGGCUUACACUGUUUUCUCAGAUUCUGAUAGAAGUCAGAGAUAUAAUUUAGGGAUCCUAAAAACCUCUGAAGUUGACUCUUAUCAAGAAUUUGAUCAGGGAACUUAUCAGCAAACUGGAUAACUCGAUCAAUUGGGGAGAUUUGCNNNNNNNNNNNNNNNNNNNNNNNNNNNNNNNNNNNNNNNNNNNNNNNNNNNNNNNNNNNNNNNNNNNNNNNNNNNNNNNNNNNNNNNNNNNNNNNNNNNNNNNNNNNNNNNNNNNNNNNNNNNNNNNNNNNNNNNNNNNNNNNNNNNNNNNNNNNNNNNNNNNNNNNNNNNNNNNNNNNNNNNNNNNNNNNNNNNNNNNNNNNNNNNNNNNNNNNNNNNNNNNNNNNNNNNNNNNNNNNNNNNNNNNNNNNNNNNNNNNNNNNNNNNNNNNNNNNNNNNNNNNNNNNNNNNNNNNNNNNNNNNNNNNNNNNNNNNNNNNNNNNNNNNNNNNNNNNNNNNNNNNNNNNNNNNNNNNNNNNNNNNNNNNNNNNNNNNNNNNNNNNNNNNNNNNNNNNNNNNNNNNNNNNNNNNNNNNNNNNNNNNNNNNNNNNNNNNNNNNNNNNNNNNNNNNNNNNNNNNNNNNNNNNNNNNNNNNNNNNNNNNNNNNNNNNNNNNNNNNNNNNNNNNNNNNNNNNNNNNNNNNNNNNNNNNNNNNNNNNNNNNNNNNNNNNNNNNNNNNNNNNNNNNNNNNNNNNNNNNNNNNNNNNNNNNNNNNNNNNACUCAUUUGGAUUGCCCGGGCUAGGCGUAGUAGUCGCGUCUCACUAAAGCGCUUUGAUGUAGGGAAGACGGACGACAUGCUGCUUCCUAUACCAAAAGGCUGUGGGCAACUCAGAACAAAUUUCUUCUUUUAAUCUUUGUUCAAAUUUUUGAAUUUGCAACUGUAAGGACUGACUGGCAAGUUGUUGUUCAACUCUCUUAAACUUAAUUUCUUCCUUAAGAAAUUUCAACUGGUUAGUUUUUUGGACAACCUGAAGGGACCUAGAGACAGAAUGUUUCUGUAAGGCUUUCAGAUUAUGCAACUCAGGUUUAGAAAGGAAACUAAACUUAACUUUCUCACCUAAUUGGGUAGAAAUGACACCGUCGUAUUCUACCUGGAAGGGAUAAAGCAGACUUAUGAAGGGUAAUCCUAAGAUAACCUCAUCAGUAAUAUUUUUAACUAAAACAAACGAAGUUUUAAAACAAACUCUGUUUUGGCAAAUAUGGGCUUUAGGCAACUCAUAAUUCAGCUGAAGAGAUUUUCCUGAAGCAGUGCUUAGGGUUUCUCUAGACUUCUGGUAGUACUUAGUAGGAAUUAGACCUUCCUGAAUACAGUUAAGGUCGGCUCCUGAAUCAAAUAAGGCAAUUGUGGUAAACUCAAAAUCUUUGACAACUAUUGUAACUUUCGAAUACCAUUUUCGGAAAUUGACUUGUUUGAUUAGGUUGACAACUGGAGUUUCUUCGUCAGAACCAGCAGGGCUGUCUGACUGGUUACUGGGCACUAAAGGCAUUUUGCCUUUUUGAAGACUUGUUAAGUCUUGCCUGAUUGUGUGGUUUUCAACCUGCAACUGGUUACUAAUCUGCCUUAACUCGGCUAAUUCUUGUUUGACUAAUUUGACUUCUAACUGGAGGUCUUGUAAGGUAACUUCUUUCUUUUUCUGAGCGAACUUUUCUAUAGUAGUGGCUAAACUGACUGGCUGCGGUUUAGGACUACUAGAGCUUUCUUGACUAAUGACUUUUCGCAAUUUUUUCAAAUAAUCGGACUUUAACUCAGGGUUUUCUACUCGGCUGAUUAAGUCGAUUAACAACUCUUCUUGUUCUUCCUGUUUGGUAAGAACAAAAAUAGAUUUUAAUCUAUUACAACACUUAUCGGUGCAACCAAAUUGGACAUCAGGGGAACUAGGCUGGGAAUCUGAAGCUUGUUCAGAAUCAUAUCCAGAGCUGGCAACUAAGGUUUCGGGACUGCUAGUUUCAGAGUCUCGCAACUCUAAAACUUGGAUCAACUUUUCUCUUUCAGCUUCUGAGAUCUGCAACUGCUUAAUGGCAUCUUUAACUUUACACUCAGAGGCAUAAUGACCAAAUUUUUGACAUUUAAAACAUUUAACUUUGGACUUAUCGGUUUUGGGUCGACUCUUCUGGGCUUUUCUGGGGGCUUUAGACCAAUUUUUUCUUUUAAAACUUUUUCUUUUCUUAUAAAACUCAUUAUCACUUUUAACUGCAAAAUGUUUUCUUUUAGAGGAAAACCGACGUUUCCUAAGGUGACUUGGCUUAGACUUAUUUCUGCAUAUGCAUUAGUCUGAAUACUGAGUUAAGUUGCUGCAUAAUCAUAUUCAUCUUCUUUCUCGCUAUCUCUCUGUGUCCCCUCUCUGUUGGUAUCAGAGCCGUAAGAGUUACGGUCUUUGUCUAAGUCUGCUACUCAUUCCCGCCCAAGUGGCUGGUUUAAGCUUCUGAGUAGAAGGUUUUCAUCUUCUUCUUUUCCUUCCUUUUUAUUCUUUGAGUUGUCUGUUGAUUUCACUCUAAGGUCUGACCCGUGAGUCCUUUUUGCUAGAUCUGUAAGUCCCGAGGGUAGGGCGUUUGUGCUGGGCAGGAGACAGAAAAUUGAGUGGAGUUAGUAGAUUUCUUAGAGUCUAAGGAGUGAGUCCGAGAAGUUCCUGUUUAUCUUCUUCCUCAGUCCGUUUGAGUCAAACACUUGAGUAGCCAUGAGUCGUUUUCUUAGGUCGAGUUCCUGUAAGUCAAGCAGUUCUAAGACCAAUAUAAGUCGACUCCCUGAGAUAGUUAAUGAAGAACAAUUUGAAUAUGAUUCUAGUUGCAAAGAACAAUUAGAUUUUAGAGAUUGGAAUAUCCCUAAAGUCCCUAGUCAAAAAAUCUAUAAGAAACAUUGGUUGCCUUCCAGUUUUAAUUGCACCACACAUGUCAAAACAGUUGAACAAGUUUACGCUCUUAGUAAAGAACACGAAACUUGCCAGUUGCUUAAUCUUGAGUCAAUCAAAAAGCACAAGACUGAUGGAAACAAUUUCCUGCAUAUUGGUCUUGUUCAAGUUGCCGUUAAGCCCCUAACCAGGUUAGGUUUGAAAGCCUCCAUACUGCUCUGUUUACGCGAUGCCCGGUUCACCGCGUUCAGUGACAGUACGCUAGGAGUUAUUGAGUCCAGUUUGUGUAACGGUCCAGUUCAUUUUGAUUGUUACCCAGACUUCACUGUAAGCCUUAGUGAUCCACAUAUAUUGAGAACCCUAACUCUCAAUAUUAAGACUGAAGGUUAUAAUGUCCUCCCAGGAACCCAACCUUUAGCAUUAGUUUACAGAAUUUACUAUAAGGUCACAGGAACCAAUAUGAACUUCCAGGCCUUAAACAAAAGCCCAAAGGAUCAGACAGUCCUGAUCCAGAGUCACACCUCAGACGCCCAUAUUCAAGUUCCCCAGACCAUUAAAUGGUCAGAAGUUGCCCUUCCAACAGAUUGGACCUUAGUUACCGAGAGCCAACCAGCUCCGAUUCAACGUAGUCUAAACAAUUUAGACUACAUCCAGCAGUACUUAGAUGGCACGGUUAAGAUUAGAUUCGAUAGCCAGCCUCUACAUAAGUCUAAAGUCCAGUUACACCAGUUACCAACCCCAGGUCAGUCACAAAGGCAUGCCCCAGCUAGGCACUCCUUUACUGCCUCAUCCUCAACUCUAGAACGAGACCUAGAGUUAGAAAAAACCAUGAUAGAUUUAAAGCUUGAGUCCCUGAGAAGAUCCUCUCAUGUAACCCAACCCUGCUACGGCACGGUUCCAGUAGAAGAAAAGUCAGAAUCCCCUGAGUCACCUACCCAGUCUGACUUCAUAGUUGAAAACCAGUUAAGAACCCUUAAUAGAAAAUUUAAAAUUGAUUGGUCACGUCUAAACAAACAUCUCAAAGCCCCUGAGAACCUGUCUAGACGAGAUAGUUAUCACCAAGCCUUUCCUGAUAGUAGCCGCCGCUUAGAAAUCUUUAGUGAAUGGAAAGAUUACAUGCGGUCAGCCCAAGUUGAAAUUUUCUACCUUGAUUUUGUUGAAAGCCGUUAUAUGUCAAAUGAUGAGUUAAAAACCUUAACUCAGCAAAAAUGGAAAAUGGCAGAUAAGUCUGUCGUUGAGUCUAGCCAUCCUCCAGUAGAAACCAUAAUUAUUGAGCAUAAAGAUACUCUUAUUCCUGCUACUCCUUUCAAAACAUUUGAAAGCAGUGACAGUAAUAGAAGAAUUCUUGAGCAAAAUAAUUAUACCAACCAGAGUCUAAUUGUUAUAGGAAAACAGUUGGAUACAAUUGAAACUAAAAUUGAUAAGAUAGGUUCUACAGACGUAGAGUCUAAAAAGAAAAUUGAAAAACCAAUUGUCCAGUUCCAGGAUCUUAGGUCUAGCCCGACCCUUAAGAUCACACCUACAAUAAAGAAAAUAGAAGACAUGUUAGCCCAGUUGACCCCUGCCAAAGUUGAAAAAACUGAGAAAUCUGGUCUUAAAACACUAGAUGCCUUUGCAGUAGAAAAUACCUCUGAGUCUGAGUCUUCAGAAGUAAGCAAUAUUUCUAAAAUUGAAAAAGCCUUUCAAACUUUAGAAAUCCAAGUUGAACCCAAAGUUAAGAAAUUAGAAAAGUUUGUCAGCCCCAGUAGUCUGACCAAAAAUUGGUAUCCCAGACCAACACCUCCUGACAUUCAAUUUGAAGAAAGAAACCUGCAGACCCAGUUCUCUGUUUCUUCCGACAAAUUGUAUGAAUGGAAUAUUGAUGGUCUCUCUGAGCAAGAGAUCCUCAAUAAGUUACAACAUAUGUCCAUGGUUGCCAAUAGUUAUAUCACCAAUCACAGUUUCAGACAGUCUGAAAUUGUCCCUCUGUUAGUCACUGGUUUCACCGGUACUCUCAGAAGUUGGUGGGAUAAACACCUGAGUCCUGAGUCUAAAAGCCGUAUAACCUUUGCUGUAAAACUGAAUGAUGACGGUCACCCUAUCUUUGACGAACGAAUAGGUCAAGGUAUAGAAGACGGUGUCAACACCCUGUUUUACACCAUAAUCGAUCACUUCAUAGGAACCCCUAGUAAUCAAACUGCUAGGAUCCAUGACCAGUUAAGUAAUCUUAGAUGCCCAAAGUUGUCCGAUUUCAGAUGGUAUAAGGAUGUCUUCAUCUCUAGAGUCAUGCUUAGAGACGAUAGUAACCAACCAUUCUGGAAAGAGAAAUUUGUUAAUGGUUUGCCAAACCUAUUUGCCCAUAAGAUCAGAACUACCCUCAGUAAUGAAUUAGGUCAUAUUGAUUGGGAUAGUUUAACUUAUGGUAACAUUGUAAGCACAAUUAAUCAAGUUGGCAUGAAAAUGUGUGUUGAUUACAAAAUCGGAAAACAAAUACAGUCCGAUAGGAAAUCAGCCAAAUAUGAGUUAGGAAACUUCUGUGAACAAUACGGUCUCAGUAGCAUUCCGCCCUCUAGAAGAAAUAAGUCUAAGCCAAGUCACCUUAGGAAACGUCGGUUUUCCUCUAAAAGAAAACAUUUUGCAGUUAAAAGUGAUAAUGAGUUUUAUAAGAAAAGAAAAAGUUUUAAAAGAAAAAAUUGGUCUAAAGCCCCCAGAAAAGCCCAGAAGAGUCGACCCAAAACCGAUAAGUCCAAAGUUAAAUGUUUUAAAUGUCAAAAAUUUGGUCAUUAUGCCUCUGAGUGUAAAGUUAAAGAUGCCAUUAAGCAGUUGCAGAUCUCAGAAGCUGAAAGAGAAAAGUUGAUCCAAGUUUUAGAGUUGCGAGACUCUGAAACUAGCAGUCCCGAAACCUUAGUUGCCAGCUCUGGAUAUGAUUCUGAACAAGCUUCAGAUUCCCAGCCUAGUUCCCCUGAUGUCCAAUUUGGUUGCACCGAUAAGUGUUGUAAUAGAUUAAAAUCUAUUUUUGUUCUUACCAAACAGGAAGAACAAGAAGAGUUGUUAAUCGACUUAAUCAGCCGAGUAGAAAACCCUGAGUUAAAGUCCGAUUAUUUGAAAAAAUUGCGAAAAGUCAUUAGUCAAGAAAGCUCUAGUAGUCCUAAACCGCAGCCAGUCAGUUUAGCCACUACUAUAGAAAAGUUCGCUCAGAAAAAGAAAGAAGUUACCUUACAAGACCUCCAGUUAGAAGUCAAAUUAGUCAAACAAGAAUUAGCCGAGUUAAGGCAGAUUAGUAACCAGUUGCAGGUUGAAAACCACACAAUCAGGCAAGACUUAACAAGUCUUCAAAAAGGCAAAAUGCCUUUAGUGCCCAGUAACCAGUCAGACAGCCCUGCUGGUUCUGACGAAGAAACUCCAGUUGUCAACCUAAUCAAACAAGUCAAUUUCCGAAAAUGGUAUUCGAAAGUUACAAUAAUUGUCAAAGAUUUUGAAUUUACCACAGUUGCCUUAUUUGAUUCAGGAGCUGACCUUAACUGCAUUCAGGAAGGUCUAAUUCCUACUAAGUAUUACCAGAAGUCUAGAGAAACCCUAAGCACUGCCUCAGGAAAAUCUCUCCAGUUGAAUUAUGAGUUGCCUAAAGCCCAUAUUUGCCAAAACAAAGUUUGUUUUAAAACUUCGUUUGUUUUAGUUAAAAAUAUUACUGAUGAGGUUAUCUUAGGAUUACCCUUCAUAAGUCUGCUUUAUCCCUUCCAGGUAGAAUACGACGGUGUCAUUUCUACCCAAUUAGGUGAGAAAGUUAAGUUUAGUUUCCUUUCUAAACCUGAGUUGCAUAAUCUGAAAGCCUUACAGAAACAUUCUGUCUCUAGGUCCCUUCAGGUUGUCCAAAAAACUAACCAGUUGAAAUUUCUUAAGGAAGAAAUUAAGUUUAAGAGAGUUGAACAACAACUUGCCAGUCAGUCCUUACAGUUGCAAAUUCAAAAAUUUGAACAAAGAUUAAAAGAAGAAAUUUGUUCUGAGUUGCCCACAGCCUUUUGGUAUAGGAAGCAGCAUGUCGUCCGUCUUCCCUACAUCAAAACCUUUAGUGAGAAAAAUAUCCCCACUAAAGCCAGGCCAAUCCAAAUGAGUCAAGAAAUGAUGGAGUUCUGUAAGAAAGAAAUUGAAGAGUUGCUUCAAAAGAAAAUAAUUCGCAAGAGUAAGUCCCCCUGGUCAUGUCCUGCUUUUUAUGUCCAGAAAAAUGCUGAACUAGAAAGAGGUGUUCCCAGAUUAGUUAUCAAUUAUAAGCCCCUUAAUGCGGUCCUAGAAUGGAUUAGGUAUCCCAUACCUAAUAAAAGAGAUCUCAUUAAUCGGUUAGAAAAAGCAGUUGUCUAUUCUAAGUUUGAUUUGAAAAGUGGUUUCUGGCAAAUCCAAAUAGAUGAGUCAGACAGAUAUAAGACUGCAUUUGUCACUCCCUUUGGUCAUUACGAGUGGAAUGUAAUGCCCUUUGGUUUGAAAAAUGCUCCUAGUGAAUUCCAGAAUAUCAUGAAUGAUAUAUUCAAUCCUUACAGUCAGUUUUCGAUUGUUUAUAUUGAUGAUGUUCUAAUCUUUUCUGAGUCAAUAGAACAACAUUGGAAACAUUUGCAUAAGUUCCUUCAAGUUGUCAAACAAAAUGGUUUAGUUGUUUCUGCCAAAAAGAUCAAGUUGUUUCAAACCAAUAUUCGUUUUCUUGGUUUCAAUAUUUGUCAGUCGCAAAUCUCCCCAAUUGAUCGAGUUAUCCAGUUUGCUGAUAAGUUCCCUGAUCAAAUUCUUGAUAAGAGUCAACUUCAGAGGUUUUUAGGAUCCCUAAAUUAUAUCUCUGACUUCUAUCAGAAUCUGAGAAAACAGUGUAAGCCCCUAUUUGAUAGGUUGCAGAGUAAUCCUCCUCCUUGGUCGUCUACUCACACUGAAGUUGUUAAACAGAUUAAAUCCCAUGUCAAGACACUUCCCUGUCUUGGUAUUCCUUCAGUUGAUUCAUUCAAAAUAAUUGAAACCGAUGCCUCUGACAUAGGUUAUGGUGGCAUUCUUAAGCAAAAAGUCAGUCCUAGUUCUCCAGAACAAAUUGUUCGAUUCCAUUCUGGAACCUGGACUCAGUCGCAGCAUAAUUACAGUACUAUUAAAAAAGAAAUUUUAGCUAUUGUAUUAUGCAUUAGUAAAUUUCAAGAUGAUUUGCUUAAUCAAAAGUUUUUAAUCCGAGUUGAUUGUAUGUCUGCAAAACAUGUUUUAGAAAAAGAUGUUCAAAACAUUGCAUCUAAACAGAUUUUUGCACGAUGGCAAAGUAUAUUAAGUAUAUUUGAUUUUGAAAUUGAAUAUUUGAAAGGCAGUGAGAAUUCUGUUCCUGAUUUUCUCACUCGAGAAUUCUUGCAGGAUGCACAAUGGCUCCCAAGAAAGACAAACAAAAAGCAGUAGCCAGUCAACCCAAGUUGCCCAAGUCGCCCAAAUCAACCCAGUCAUCCCAGUCGCUCAGAGUCCUUCCUUCCUCCAUGAGUCAACCUAAGCCAGAGUUGCCCAGGCAAAUAGUUCCAUAUCCGGGUCACCCCCCAUUAUCAGUUGCCACUCCAAUUUCAGUUGCAAACAGAUUUUCCUCUUUAGGAUCCACAGUUGGCCAAAUUCGCCCCAGUUAUCAAUCCACCUUAAUUUCCAGUUAUGACCCCUUUGCAGUUGAGAUCCCUGCAGAGCCAUCAGUUGUGCCAUCAGUUGUCCACAAAAAAUCGUCUCCUUAUUUGCCUAAAAGUAAUUCUCAUUUAUUUGUCAUUGAGUCCACAUAUGAUAUUCAUGCAAAUCCAGUAGAAAUUGCCAAACACUAUUUCCCUCCUGGAUUUCAUUAUAUGCCCCAGAGUCCAUAUAAGUCCCUCAAGUACUAUAGAGAUAUAUUACUUGAGACACAAUCAGUUGAAAUUAAGCCGAUAAAGGAUCGGGAUCAUCCUGAAACCAUUCUUUAUCAUUCUCUUUAUAUUCAUCAAAUUAUCAGUCAACAAUCUUUCAGUAGCCAUCCUUAUGAGUUGAAAUUUCUUAUGUCAAAAUUACAAUAUAAUUAUUCGGAUUAUAUUGAAGCUUGGUAUACUAUCUUUCUUCACCAAUCUGAAGAUUUUAGUCAUUCCUGGUUUAUUAAUUUUGAUAAUAAGUUCAAAAGCCCAUUCCCCUACUGGUUUCUUCACUGGUGGGAAAAAUAUGGUCCAGUUGAUGAAAUUCUUCCAGUAUCAGUUCUUGAGUUGAUCCGCCAUUUUACUAAAAGAGCCAAGUUUUCCCUAGUUGAUUUAUUCUUUCCCAAACAGUUGCUGUUUAUUGCCAGAUACAAGGUACCUUGGAUCCUUAAAUGGUCCUAUGCCAUCACCAAGGACACCCGUGUAUUUGCCCGCCAAUUCUCAAUCAAAUGGUGGGACAAGUUUGAAGUUGACAGAAUUGCCAAAUACGUCUACAGUGACCUCCCCCGGGAGCCAGUUGCUCACCCUGUAUCUCCUACAGGCUCAGUCAGAUCAUCCUUAUCAAUCGAAGGAAAAUCUAAAGCUGAGCUCCAGGAAAUUGCACGCCAGCUGAUCAUCCAGGCUUCUCAGAUGGAUGAUGAUGAGGACAAUGAUUCUCCUCCAUCGUCUAGUUGCCAACCCAUGCUGAGUCCUGCCAAGACAAAGUCAUGGUUCGAUGACAGCCAGGACCCCUAUGAUGCCUACGACCUAGGGGAAUCUUCUCCAUAAUUGCCUCAGUUGCCGACAAGCAAGCCUCGUUGCCAAUUUGUCAAAAGUAGUUGCCGACAGACCACUCUGUCAAAAGAAGUUGCUAGAUCACGUGAAAGCAGCGGACAAAGCAUCUCUGCUUUUACUUUUGUCAGAUCACCAAGAAGCAGCAGACAAAGCACUGUUUGCUUUUUGACAAUCCACCGAAAGUAGCCGAAAGCAUCUGCAGGAGUCAAAGUUACCUCUACAGUUGCUAAAGUUGAAUCAGGUUGAACAUCCGUGCCUCUACAGCUGUCCAACCAUAGUUGCUUUUGUAAACCAUAGUUGAAAGUUGUCUUUAAAUUCAGGCUUCGGCCUCAGUUGUAGGCAGAACUGGUUUUACCAGCUGCAUUUUAUUUUCCUAGUUUUAAAGAUUCUCUCUGAAACACCUUUAGAGAAAUCACGCUUGUACAUAGUCUAAGUGUGUUAAGUUUGCAGUUGCAACCUCUGUGAGUAUAAUAAAAGUUGCUAUUUUUAAAUUAUUCUAUUAUAUAUAUAUAUAUAUAGAUGAAAGGUAUGCAAAAAAUCAUCAGGCACAUGAAAUGAUUGGUACUGAAGGGGCACUGAGAGGAGAAGCAAUGAGGGCCACUAGCUUGUACCAAAUCACAUGGGUUUGUUUUCGUGCUCAUGUAACCCUUCCGCAAGAGAUUUCUCAUGAAAAUGAUCAAACUCUAUCCUUGUGUAGAAAUAGGAUUCCCUACCUAGCUAGCUCCUCUGGUUAACAGACAACAAAAGGGACCACCAUGUUCUUGAAAAAUGAAUUCAUUGCGCCUCUGGUUAAUUAACAGUACUGCAUAUGGUAUGCCCUACAACAAAAACUUGUUAGCUUGUGUGAUAAACUAGUAGUCUCUUUCUUUUUCAUCUUUUUAUAAAUGCUGCUUCAAAAGACAAGAAUUUGUGGUGCUAUGAGAAUAUACAUGGACCCUCGGAUGCUCUAUGAUUUGGUUGGUUGGGAGCACCAAACCACCCCUUGCAUGUGGCUUUGUCUUUCAUCUAUGAUAUUCAGGCCCAACAAGCAAGGGAAGUCUUUCAUUUGUUUGAAGAAUUGAUACUUACUGAGAAUGCAGUAGGUAAUGAGUACAUAUCUAAAAAGCAUAUGAUAUCAAGAGAGUGCUAAUCUGUAGCAAUUAUAAAUGUUGGAUACAUACUUUUUACUUAAAAGUAAAACAUACUCAUAGACUUGCUGUAUAUAUUCCUUGUCUCUCAAGGACUUGAUUCUUGCCUAGAAUAGGAAAUCCUUUGUGUAGACACCAAGCAAAGCAUUGUAUAUAAUUAUCACAUGAUUGUUCAAUGAAAAUCAUCGAGAAUAUUCAAAACCUUUCAUGGUAUCAAGAGCCUGAGACUCACAGUCCUCGAUCCUCAAUUUUCUUGUUCCCUGUCUUUUUUUUUUCUUUUUUUUUUUUUGGCACCAUGGCUUCUUCCUCCUCUAUUGAUUUUCCUGGCAUUCAUCAUGUUAUCUCCAUUCGUAUCAAGCGUGAUAAUUAUUUGACAUGGCUUGCUCAAAUUGUUCCUAUCCUUCGCAUCCGCCGCUUACUCAGCUUCGUUGACGACACUUCUCUAUGUCCUCCGACCAUUCCUGACCCAAAUGCUAAGGCCGAUGAAUUUUCUUUUCUGUCUCUCCUCCCCAACCCAAAGUAUGAUGAUUGGUGUUUACACCAUAAUGAACCGAGCAGACCCAGCACCAAAGUGACUAGUACCAAGGCAGCCACGCCUUCUCCUGUGCCGAAGGAAGACACACUUCCGAGGUGCCAGACACCAUAAUGAACCGAGCAGACCCAGCACCAAAGUGACUAGCACCAAGGCAGCCACGCCUUCUCCUGUGCCGAAGGAAGACACACUUCCGAGGUGCCAGACACCUACCGAAGCUCCCAGCUGCCAAACCUAAUCUCCAGGACACGUGUCGCCACCACGACGACUUGCACAAAGUCCCACAUCGGAACUUUGUGCAAACCUCCUACUUUCACCUCCCUAUAAAUAGGGAACAGUACCCAGGUAAAAAGGGUAACUAUUCUCCCACUUUUACUGUUACUCUGCCAGAAUUACUACUUGUAACUGACUUAGGCAUCGGAGAGCCUUCGGCCGGCACCACACCGAUGUCCGAAGCUUAACGAUUGCUUCUCCCACUUUGUCUUCUGCAGGUUUCCCAUCAACCUAUAUUUCACCAAGGGCCUCAGCUCUCUUCCCUACCGAAGACCCCGCAUACCUAAUCACUAAGUUGGACUCACUAUUGGCCGGGCCAUUUUGAGCAUCAACAAUUGGGUCCAGAAAGAUCAGCUUGUUUUCUCUCUCUCAUCAACGGUUCCUUUCACCAUAAAGUUCUCACCACCAUAGCUUCCAAGACCACCGCGUGUGACACUUGGGUAGCCCUUGAAACUCGUUUUGCUUCUCCAAAUCAGAAUCGUCUUCUUCAACUUCACAGUAACUUGCUUCGCACAACCCGUGGUGAAUCUUCCAUCACUGAUUUCCUUAAUCGUAUUAACUCGAUUGACGAUAACUUGGCUCUAGCAGGUGCUUCAGUUGCUAACUCUGAUCUCCUUGUUGUGGUUACGAACAACGUUUGUCCUCUUUAUGAAAAUACCAUUGCCGAUACUCAAGCUCGUGAGAAACCCAUCAAUAUGCCUGAUCUUGAUGCUUUCCUCUUGUCUGUGGAACGUCGCCUGUAAUUAUCUUCUUCUCUGGUCAUCUAUUCUGGUGCGACAGCUAUGGAAGCUUCCCACGGUGGUCUCGGUGGACGCGGUUUUGGCGAUCGCGCUGGGUUUGCUGGUCGUGGUCCUGAUCUUCGCAACUCAUUUUCUCCCUCACGACCUGGUUUUACUUCUGGUCGCGGUUUCCCUGGCGCUUCUUAUGACGCCUCUAGUCCUGCCUCACAUCAACAACGUUUUGUAGCAAUUUUGAGCCGAGUGUUCUUGGCCCACCUCCUUCUGGUUCUACUGCUUCCUCUUUUGGGCCUCAUUCUGCCUGUGGGCCUCUUCAAUGUUUCAAUUGUCAUGGUUUUGGCCACAUCGCAGCUGUCAGUCCUUCCAAGAUGUCUUCUGUGCCUUCUCCUCCGUCUCGUCUUCAAGACAUGACUGCUCAAUAUCCUUCACAUGGUGGCCAUCAACAGUGGGUUGCUGAUACCGAUGCAAACACUCAUUUUACUAAUGACCUGAGCUGCUUAUCCCUUGCUAGACAGUAUCAUGGUUCUGACAAUGUUGAAGGUGUGCUUGGUGGAAUAGGUUUGCCUAUUAAAAAUAUUGGUCACUCUCAUUUCUCUCACCUUAAUUCUUCUUUUCAUCUUAAUGAUAUUCUUCAUUGUCCCGAUGCAUCUCUUCCUCUUUUAUCUAUUCAUAAAUUUCCUACUAACAAAAAUUGUUUCUUCACUUUUUUUCCUGAUUGUUAUUUUAUCCAGGAUUUGGGGACGAGGAAGACACUUUUCUUGGGCAAGAGUAGUAAUGGCCUAUAUCCCUUUUCGUUUACUCCGAAUGAGUUUUUUCAAGUUUUGCGUGAUCGCGUUGCUUUACUAGGUGUCUGUGUUGACCACUCUAUGUGGCACUCUCACCUUGGUCAUCCUGCUUCGUCUACCAUUCGAGAUGACGUGCGAGUCAAGCUAUUGAAGUCUCGGAAGAACAACGAGCCUUUCGUGGAUGCGAAUGAUCUUGAUGCUAGGAUCAUCACCUUCCGUCCUUUUUACUUCUCCUUGGGCUUCAAAUUCCCGCUGUCAAAGCUUUUCAAGGAGGUGUUCUGCGCCAUGGGGUGUGCUCCGAGCCAGUGUACUCCAAACGCUUACCGAGCGAUCAUGUGCUUUGAGAAUUUGAGUCGUUUCUUCAUGUUGGAGCUGACGGUGCGAGAGUUCUUUUAUUUUUUCGAAGUGAGGCACUUCGAGCAGUAUGCCCAAGUUCGCGUCUACAAGGCCAAGCUGUUCAACAGUCUUAGUCAAGGGGAUCACGCUUGGCAUGACGACGUGUUGGAGGUCAGCGGACGGUGGGAAGGCGACGUCGGUGACAGCCCACUUGUUCCCAUCACCUAUUGCGAUGGUAUGUCUCUUUGCAAUUUUUGAUGCGCUCCUGUUAUUUGAAUUUCUUGAAGUGUGGCUGACUAACUUCUGUCUUCUGCUUGCAGUGAGUGACAUCAGCAAGCAAUUGGAGCUUGGGCCGGACAUGGCUAAGGUCCGUCGUGUUUUGAACAUCCCUCUAAGGUUUUGCGAGUGACGCUGGCUGUUGAGUGAGUACCGGGAGGAAGACGGUGGUUUGCCCCCUGCCGAGGAUGUCGAAAGGUGGAAGCAGAACGGUCCUGACCCUGAUGAUCUGCUUGGCGGACAAGAAGAAUGUUCUGCUGAAUCUCUCUCAAAGAGAAAAGCUGCUGCCAAAUCUUCAAGAGGUGAAGCUACUUCUUCGCACGCGAAGGAUGGGUCUCAUUCGAGGAAGAAACCAAGGCUUCCUUCUGCUGAGAAGACUCAAGUAGGGUAUGUUCCCUUAUCAUCUGCCAGGGUCAAGCAUCUCGUGGGUGCAGAUAGUACGAAGGUUGGUGGUAUGCGCGGUAUUCGGGGUGUUCUACACGAGCCUCCUGCUGACACGCUCGACAACCAUGAUAUGUUUCGUGAAACGGCUCGUGCUCGACCUAGUUCUGUCGAGCGUCAAAAAGAUGCAGGCAUUCCUCCUAGAAGUUCAAGUCGUCUGCAUCGGUCAAAAGAUGGAGAUCGAAACGGGAGGUCUGCUCAUGAUCCAGCAUUAUUGACUCCUUUGGAGAUGAAGUUAGCGGAAGCUAAGAAGAUGAGAGAGUCAUAUGCCCGAGUUAAGGGUUUUUCCUCCACGUCGGCAGUUGGUCCUAAGGUGAACUAGCCUAGCUCUGUAGGGGAUGCGAUCUGCUUAAGACGAACUUCCUAUCAAAUCCGUCGUCCUGUGCUGAGUUGGUUGAUCACAUCCAUCAGGCUGGCGAUCUUGGCACUUUCUCAUGUCUUUCCUUGGAAAAACAAAGGGAAGCGUCAUUCCAUCUGAUUCAAAAAGGACUGAUUUUUGCUGCUGAGACUAUUCGGAACUCAUCUGGUGUUGCCCCCUCUUCUGCCCAACUCAGCGAGUUGGAGAAGAAGAAUGCUGAAUUGGCCAGCCAGCUUUCCGCCGAGCAGGCCCGCUACGAGAAGAAGACGUCUGAUUUGAGGGCGAUGAUAUCUAGGCUGAAAAGCUCCCUUACCGAGAAGGAUUCCGAGCUCAACUCUUCCGCUGCUGAUUUGGUAGUCGAAAAGAUGCCUUCUUUCAUCUUGAGCGUAAGAAUGCGGACAUCUCCCUUAGCUAUGACAAACUCCUGGCUAGAUUUCAUGCCUAUCAUAAGUCUGCUAAAGAAUCCAAGUCUGAAGCCACCAUAGAUGCGUACAAAUUGCUACCUGCAUUGCGCAAAUGAGACUGAUUCCUUGUAUGCGAUUGAUGAUGUAGACAUCGAGAUGCUCUGCCCCGACUCACCCCCUAUGGAAGGGGGAAUUGAAGAGCAGGUAACCAGAGAGGAUGAAGCAGAGGUAGACGCAGUAGACAAGAUGAUGGCAGAUGUCAUGGUUCAGGCAGAUGGAGUUGCUGAAGACGUAGCUAGUCAGGUGGAUGCCGAAGAGGCUGCAGCUUAAAAGUCUUCUGCUGGCGUCUCCAAGUAGAUGAAGACUCUUUUUUGUUUCUUUUCAGCUUUUGUAGUUUGCUUUUUUGUUUAGAAUAACUGGUCUUAUUUGACCAUCUUCUUUUUGUUAAACUUGGCCGGUUGGUCUGUUUGUUAUGAAAAUUUCAGUUACAUUUUCCAACUUCAACUUGCAUAUUUGUCUUGUGAACUGCUUGAGUAACCAUCCUAUGUUUUAAUUGCACGUCCUCCUUUAGAGAUUUGUGAGUACCAGGGUCCCCCUUGAAGGACUCCGGGCAUGCACUGCAAAUCCCAUAGGAUGAUUCCCCUUAGGAAGUUGGCGAGCACCAGGAUCCCCCUUGAGAGACUCGUGUGUGUUCUGCACAUCUCUAGGAUGAUUUCCCUUAGGAAGUUGGCGAGCACCAGGAUCCCCCUUGAGAGACUCCGGGUGUGUUCUGCACAUCCCGUAGGAUGAUUCCCCUUAGGAAGUUGGCGAGCAUCAGGGUCCCCCUUGAGAGACUCCGGGUGUAUUCUGCACAUCCCGUAGGAUGCCUUGGUCGUCGCCCUGCGUCUCCCGUAGGACGCUACUUAUGGGCAACUACAUGAUUAUCUCGCCUCCCUUAGGAAACGGAUAGGAACCUAGAUAUUUCCCGCAGGAAGCAUGGAGACCUCCUUUUAAGAAAUUCCUGACGCACCCUGCGUCUCUCUUAGGACGCUUUUUUAGCGGGCUACGUCUCCAAACGGACGCGUUUUGUCAUCACCCUGCGUCUCCCUUAGGACGCUCCUUAUGGGCAACUGUGUGACUAUCCUGCCUCUCUUAGGAAACAGAUAGGAACCUGGAUAUUUCCCGCAGGAAGCAUGGCGACCCCCUUUUAAGAAACUCAUGGCGCACUCUGCGUCUCCCUUAGGACAUUUUUUUAGCGGGCUGCGUCUCCAAACGGACGCUUUUAGUCGUCGCCCUGCGUCUCCCUUAGGACGCUCCUUAUGGGCAACAGUGUGACUAUCCUGCCUCCCUUAGAAAACGGAUAGAAACCUGGAUAUCUCCCUUAGCAAAUUCCUGGCGUACCCUGCGUAUCCCGAAGGACGCUGCUUAUGGGCAAAUAUUGUGUUUCGUGGGCAGAUGAGACAUUUUGGAAUGAGAAACUGAACUUAUAUUGAUAUCAUAAGAUUACAGUCCUUUAUUCAAAAAUGGAAACAACUUGGUACAAAACUUAGAACUUCUAGCAGUCAGGAGGAGGUGCUACGGAUAAUACUUUCGAAGAUGGUGAGCAUUCCUUUGUCAUGGUAUUUCCUUCCCCUCCAUAGUGUCGAGUGUGUAGCUUCCUCUACCCCCAGACCGGCUGAUCAUGUAAGGACCCUCCCAGUUAGGAUUCAUCUUUUUUGACCCUUGCCUCGGUGUAGUAAUGAAAGUCUUUCUUAGCACGAGGUCGCCUGGUUGAAACUGUCUGACCUUAGCUCUUUUGUCGUGGUAAGACUUCAACUGUUGCUGAUAAGAGGCGACCCGGAUAAUGGUCUUCUCACGUUCGCCUUCAAGUAAGUCGAGGUUGAGCCUCAUCUGCUCGGAGUUCUGAUCAUCUGAUGUGGGGUGGUAUGAUCGCUUCUAUUCCAUAGGCGAGGGAGAAUGGGGUUUUACCAGUCGAUCUUCAUUUGGUGGUGCGAUAAGCCCAUAGUACUCCGGGGAGUUCAUCCACCCAUUUUCCUUCUGCGCCUUCCAGCCUUUUCUUCAAGCAGUCCAAUAUGACUUUGUUGGAUGCCUCGACUUGUCCAUUUCCUUGUGGAUACCUCGGGGUGGACAAGUGUUGCUUGAUCUUGUAUUUCGCAAAAAAGGUGGUGAUCUACUUGCCAAUGAACUGUGAGCCAUUAUCUGUAACCAGCGACUGUGGGCAGCCAAACCGGCAUAUGAUGUUUCUCCAGAUGAAUCGCUCCACAUCGGCCUCUUUAGUAGAGGAUAGAGCUUCGGCCUCUUUAGUAGAGGAUAGAGCUUCGGCCUCAAUCCAUUUAGUAAAGUAGUCGGUGGCGAGGAUCAUCAUUUCUUUCUUGGCGGGCGCUGGUGGCAAGGGACCCACUAGGUCGAUGGCCCAUUGCAUAAACGGCCAUGGACUGUUUUGCGGAUGAUAGACUUCGGCAGGCAGGUUAGGGAUCGGCUUGUAUCACUGACAGCGAUCACACUUCUUGACAUAUUCAGCGCAGUCGUGACGCAUGGUAGGCCAGAAGUAUCCUAUGUUUAGAGCUUUCUGGGCGAGUGACCUGCCCCCAGAGUGGUUGCCACACUCGCCGUCGUGAAUUUUACAGAGAACCUCAAGUGUUUGAGGGUACUUUAUGCAGGUGAGAUGAGGGCCGGAGUAUGAUCUGUGGAUGAGCUUGGUACCGUGCAUGUAGUAUCUCGCGGCCUUCUGCUGGACCUUUCUAGCUUCGGACUUGUCCGGUGGCAGGUUUCCAUUCGUCAAAUAGUCGAUGAUGGGGUCUUGCCAACUAGGGUCCUCGUCAAUCUGCAUGGUAUCGAUUAGCUCUAUUUCUUCAAUGCUUGGUCAGUCAAGGUGUUCGACCGGGAUGGAGAGUCUGAACUAGGUAUCUAGCGCUGAUCCUAGGCUUGCCAAUGUGUCUGCAUGAGCGUUCUCUGCCCGGGGCACUUGUUGGAUGGUGAAGGUGGGAAAUGCCUUCAACAGCUCUUGGACUUUGUCAAGGUGCAAGAUCAUCUUUGGGUGCUUUGCCAUGUAUUCACCUGAGGCUUGAUUCGUGAUCAAUUGUGAGUCUGAGUAGAUAGCUAGCUUUUUGAUUGCGAGCUCUUUUGCCAAGCGUAGGCCGGCGAGCAAUGCCUCGUAUUCUGCCUCGUUGUUCGAGGCCGGGAAGCCAAGCAUAAUAGCUUGCUCCAACAGGGUUCCAUUCGGAGUGGUGAUGACGACCCCUGCUCCAGCUCCUCUUUGGUUCGACGUUCCGUCUACGCGCAACUGACACAUGUCUCUGGGUUGGCUAGGUUCUGCGGAGGUCCCGUCUGCUUUUGAACUUUCCCUCUUUUGGUUGACCAACUUCACUUUUUCGGCUUGAUGGGGUGAAUUCUACGAUGAAGUCUGCUAAAGCCUGGGCUUUUAUAGCAGUUUUUGGCCGGUAGAGGAGGUCAUAUUGGCUUAGCUCUAUAGCCCACUUCAUGAGUUGCUGAGAAGCAUCAGGGCUGUGGAGGAUUGAUCUCAAAGGAAAGUCGGUCAUGACGAUGACUCGAUGAGCUUGGUAGUAGGGUCGCAGCUUUCUCGCAGAAACUACAAGAGCCAAAAUAAGUUUCUCCAACUUCGGGUAGCGAGUUUCUGCAUCGAGGAGAGCUUUUGACGUGUAGAAUACCGGAUGUUGGGCCCCCAGCUCUUCUCGAAUGAGAGCUGAACUGAUAGCUGAGUUGGACACUGCCAGCUAUACAAACAAGUUCUCACCAGAGACUGGCUUUGAGAGCAGAGGAGGUGAGUUAAGGCAAGUCUUCAGACUCUGGAAAGCUACUUCGCACUCCUCGUCCCAUUUGUCUCUUUGUCCUUUCUUCAAAGCUUUGAAGAAUGGUCUGCACUUGUCAGUUGAUCUCGAGAGGAAUCGGUUGAGGGCCGCUGCUCUGCCCGUCAGACUUUGUAUUUCCUUCACCGUGGAAGGUGAUUUCAUCUCGAGAAUGGCUUUGAUUUGACGUGGGUGUGCCUCGAUACCUCGUUGCGUGACUAGGUAUCCCAAGAAUCGGCCAGAGGAUACCCCAAACGUGCAUUUACUUGGAUUCAACUUCAUGCAAUAUUGGCGGAGCAAGCUGAAUGACUCAUCAAGAUUUCCAAUGUGAUCUGCACGUUUUGGGGCUUUGACCAGCAUGUCAUCCACGUAGACCUCCAUAGUUUUGCCGAUCUGCUCCUUGAAGAUUUUAUUUACAAGCCUUUGAUAGGUUGCUCCGGCGUUCUUCAGCCCAAAGGGCAUGACCUUGUAGCAGUAGGUCCCUCUCUCGAUGAUGAAAGAAGUUUUCGCCUUGUCAUCCUCGUGCAUCAGGAUUUGGUUAUAGCCGGAGUAGGCGUCCAUGAAGCUGAGCAGCUGAUUGCCCGAAGUGGAAUCCACGAGUUGGUCGAUUCUCGGCAAUGGGAAGUUGUCUUUAAGGCAUGCCUUGUUGAGGUCUGUGUAAUCGACGCAAACUCUUCAUUUACCCUUUUCUUGUUUUGCCACCAAAACAACGUGGCAAGCCAUUCUGAGUAGGAGACCUCUUCGAUGAAGCCGGCAGCUAGGAGUUUGUCAAUCUCAGCUUCGAUGAUAGCGACUCGCUUGGGUGCGAAGUUGCAUCUCUUCUGCGCCAGUGGCUUGCAUGCGGGGUUGAUGUGGAGUCGGUGACAAAUGAUGUUCGGGUCAAUGCCAGGCAUGUCUGAUGGCGACCAUGCGAACAUGUCUUUGUUCCUCUGGAGGAAUGUGGUAAGCUCCACAUUUUCUUCUGGGCUUCAGCGCGAGCCGAUCUGCGCUUUCCUGUCUGGCUGGUCAAGAUCCAAGGGUAUUAACUCGACGUCCUCCUCGGGUUUCCAUCCUUCUUCCGGAAAGACCUCUGGACAGAUUUCCUCAGCUUGGCCCUGACGCUUUGAUUUCUAUAAGAUAGCAAGAUUCGGUUGCUCAACCUCCUCCAGAUCCGCCUGGCUCACAGGGAGAAACUACGCUUGUUUGCCUUUCUUCAGCCCUUGGGCGGAGCAUUUCCUCGCCAUUGCUUGAUCGCUGUUGAUUUGGCCGACACCUCCCGUAGGGAUUGGGUACCGAAUUUUCUGAUGUGUGGCGGAGGUGAUGGCAUUGAUCUUGCCAAUCCAUGGUCUGCCCAGGAUACCGUUGUAAGGUGAGACCUCAUUAAUGACCAUGAAUGUUUGCAAGCUGAUCACCAGUGGGGAGUAAACGUCGAGGUCUAUCGUGCCCACGGUAAUCGUUGUUGCACCAUUAAAACCAGUCAGCAAUCUGACUAACUUGUUGAUCUUUGUCUCCAAGCCCAUCUGUUGGAUGACCGCCAGUUGUAGGAUAUUGGCUGCGCUGCCCUCAUCUGCAUGGAUUCGGUCGACCAUGGCCUGAGCGAUUUGAAUGCUGAUGACAAGUGCGUCGUUAUGUGGCGUGUCGAGGCCGAUCAGAUCUUUCUUUUGGAAGCCGAUCACAGGAUCGUCUUCUGCUAGUGGAGGGUCGAUCGAGACUUGGGAGAUCACAGUGGCCUGUUUGAUCUUCCUCUUCUUUUCUUUGCUGGUCAGCCCAGACUCCUCGAAGUCGGCUAGGAUUGUGUUAAUCCUUAUGACCUUCUGAGGCGGCUCCUUGGCGGUGUCUCGAUCUUCAAUCCGUUGGAUGGCCUGCUUCGCAACGAAUUCAGUGCAGUGGCCUUCUCUCAUGAGUUCUUCAAGAUGCGCUUUCCAAGCGGAGCAGUUGUUCGUAGUGUGCUCGUGCGUUUCAUGGAUGGCAUAGUAUUUGCUAGUGUCCCUCUUGUCCGGAUCUCCCUUCAAAGGUGGUGGUCUUCUUACCCAAGGUUUGUUCUUCACUUGGGCCAAGAUUUGAUGUAUGGGGAUGGUGAACUUGGUGUAGUUCUCUCCUCCCGUAGCCUCCCCUUGUGGGUGCGACCUACGCUUGUCUUUGUUUCGGUUGUUAAAUCCGUCGCCUCUUUGACCUGCCCGCUUAGUUGGCUGAUCUUCCUGCUUUGUAGACUUCUUUGCGGCGAUUCGAUCGUCAUCCCAGAGCGCGUAGCGUUCCGCAGUCUCGUAGACCUCUGCCAGCGUCUGGCUGGGAGUGAUAGUUAGCUCGUGGUACAAGUCGUGCUCAGCUGGAAGGCCUUUCUUGAAAGUGGAGGACGCGAUUCGGUCGUCACAUCCUACAAUGUUUGCCUUUUCUGCCUUGAAUCUCUUGAUGUAACCUCGAAGGGAUUCGUCAGACUUCUUGCGCAGGUUGUACAGGUGGUCAAGGUUCUUCUUGAUUGUCCGGUAAGAGGUGUAUUCUUUGGUGAAGACGUAAGCUAGCUCCUUGAAGCUGCUGAUCGACCUGGAUGGUAGGGUGUGGAACCAGUCUUGGGCUGCUCCUCGCAAGGUUAUCGUAAAUACCUUGCACAUUAGCGCGCCGUCAGCCUGGUGGAGGAUUAUAACACUUUUGAAGUGUUUUAAGUGGCUCUCGGGAUCGGAAUCCCCUUUGAAGUGUAUGAACGAGGGUGUCGAGAAUUGCUUCGGGUGAGCGGCCUGCUCGAUAUCGAGGGUGAAAGGCGUAGAGCUCACCUGGUCCAUCUCCUUACGUAGUGAAUCCUCGAAGUUUCCUCCGGUCUUCAAGUCUCGAAGUCGGUCAUUCACGAGCUUCUCAACGUCUUCUGUGCACAUUGCUGGUCGGUUAUGUUGGCGACCUCCACGAUAUUGACUGACUUCCUCAUUGUCCUCCGAGGGUCGACCUUCUCGCCUGAGCUGCCUAGUUGAAGUGUUGGUGGACUGCGCCUGCGAAAGAUUCUCUAUAGCUUGUCGACGAGAAUUGGUUCUUCGAGAGUGAGUAACGGAGCGUCUUUCCUCAUGGUCCUCAUUGUGAGGGUUAUCCAACUGGCCUCCCUGGGGGCCUAGCCUUUUGAGAGCGCUUCUCUGUGAGUUGACAGCUGAGCGCCUUUCUUCGCGAUCCUCAUUGCGAUGGUUGUUUGGCUGACCUCCUUGGGGGCCUAGCCUUUGAUGUACAUUUCCCUAGGGGCCCAAGCGGGCGCGGACGUUGAGUCGUCUACCGGCGCGUUCGUCCAUCCUUCUCUCCUUGCCCGGUGGUCCAUGGCCAAGGUUCUGAGCAAAGCCUAUUUGGUUGAUGAGCUGCCUCAUUAGAUUGCUUUGGUCGUCCACUCUCUGAGCUAGCUGGUCAACUCUUAGAUUAAGGUCUGCUUGACUUCGUGGAUCGGGAGGAGAGAAGUGUGUGGAGCCCAACUGCACACGGGCUAGGUUUUCAUUGGAGGUGUAUGCAGGAGCGUGCGUUGCGCGUGGAGGCAAUGGAGGGAAUGCUUGGAGUUGCUCCAAGACCGGCCCUAGGUCGGCAGUGGUAACGAGUCCACCUUGAUGGGAAGUUCCGCCAGGUUCGACGGCGAUGGCCGGUGCUGUGGUGAGAGGUGGCGGUGCCACCAUGUCGAUCGCGGGAUCGUGGGUGGAGUGGCUUUGGGUCGUCGCGGAUCUAACCAUCGCGGCGGCUUUGCCUCUUGUGUUCAUGCUUCCAACCAUGGUUGUUUGGAAGGCUUCGGUGGAUUGAAAAAUAGGAGGAACGGAUUCCUUGAGCACGCAUUGAGUAUACCUCGUGCUCUCAAUGAAAGCACCAAUUUGAGGGAGCAAAUUUCCCCACGAGAAUAUUCGCCCAAGAUUCCUUCGUCUUCUCCGCCUCUCUUUCUCCCUGCAAAACAGAUCGGAGUAAAAGACCACACCCGGGGGGUGUUGGCCAAAGGCCCUCCGAUGCCUAAGUUAGGUAGGGUAAUUCAAGGAAAACCGGGUGGCCGGAGCCGUGUGUGGUGGCCGGAGCCUUGUGUAAGAGAGAGAAAGAGAGGAGGUGGCUAGGGUUUUUGAGAAAUAAUUUCUGCAGAGCUUUAGUAAGAAUUUAGGCGUACCUCAACCAUUGUGUGUGGCUAUGCUUUUAUAGUAGUCUCGAAGGCUAGGGUUUCAGAGGAAUAAUUCCGUAGAUGGAAGGGAAUUAUUCCUCCCCUUUUUGGAAUUGAUUUGAUUAAUUAGGGAUUUGAUUAAUUAGGGUAAAUCAAAUCCCUAAUUGUGGUAGGUAUCAAAUCAAAUCCUGAUUCAAUUAGGCAACUCCUCAUUUAAUUGGGGAUCGUGGUAAUUAACCAAAUCAAUUCUCAACCUAAUUAGGUAAUGUUCAAUUUAAUUGGGUAAUUCCCAAUUAAAUUGAGUAAUUCCCAAUUAAAUCGAGUAACUCCCAAUUAGGUUGAUUAAUUCCCAAUUGGGUCAAAUAAUCCCCAAAUGGUAGGAAUUAUUUGACCUAUGGUUUGAUUUAAUUAGGUUCCCACAGGAACCAUGUAAAAAGUUAUAUGGUAAGCAUUUUAAUCAAAUUCUUGUGCAAAUCUACUACCACUUGGGGAUUAAAUAUAUAACAAGAGCUACAAGAAGACAAUACUAUAAAGCAAACCAUAAGACAAGAAAGGAUAAUGAUUUCAAAUAGAUUGUACAUUGCUCCUGGAGAACAAUAAAGAAGUUUACAUAGGUUUAAAAGACAGAAUUUGACUGCCCUUGGGUGGGGGGAUGAUAUUUGGAACAAUGGUUCUAGGGAAUUCAUGAUAUUAUCACUUGUCUGCUUCAUAAAUUUCUAUGUUUCUGCUCAGCCUAGAAGCAGUUUCAGGAUUUGAGAAGGUUUGCUUUCACCACAAGAUGUGAGUUGAUUCCAUGGAUGAGCAGUGGUAGCCUCUUCUUCAUCCCAACUCAGUGAGUUCUGAAAUGAGGAUGCUUUGGAUAUAAUCAUAUCCAAAUUCUUUCAUCUUGGCUCAGUGAGCUCUGAAAUGAGGAUGGUUCGGAUAGAUUGGAUGACCGAUUCGUAUACACUCACACACUCAAGCGGGAAGUGAGAUCAAGGAAGGUGUUUUCACUGCAGGGGAUUGUGAUACCUCCCAUGGGAUGAUCAUAUCCGAAUUCUUCUUCAGCUUGACUCAGCAAAUCCAGGAAUAAAGGCUCAUUCAAAUAUGAUAUCGGAAUCACAAACCGCUUCUUCUGGCUCUCCCCAACAUAGACUGCAAGGUAGCCUUUUGGGAUAUCUAAAGUCUUUGAAUCUGCUGUCUGGCUUGAACUAGAUAGAGAUCGAAUGAGACUUCUCUUUGCAUUAACAAUUGCAGGCAACCGGAAACCCAUGAUCUUAUAUAUUCUCAAAGGACAAAAGAAGAGAGGGAAUUCAAAGGACUUGGAUUUGGAAAGCAGAGAAAGCUUUGGUGCUUGAGAAGGUGAAGACUUGAGUUGCUCAUGAUGAACUUGGUCAUGUGUAUAUAUAGAUCAAGGGUAUCCAGAAAAUCAACAGCUACAUGAAAUUAUUGGUCUGAGAUGGGCUCCAAUGAGGGACACUUGAUUGUGAGAAAUCACAUGGGCUUGUCGUCCUUCUCACGCAACACAUCCUCGAAAGAUUUCUCACGGAACUCUUCCCUACCUCCUCUAGGUAACAGACAACAAAAGGACCACUAGAGGUGAUUCAAUCCAAAAGACUUAUGUCUGUUAGGUAAGUAGCAUUUAUGCUUGAGACAUGCACUUCUCUUUGUUCACACUAAAUCAACUGACCACAUAAUUGGACUAUUAAACUACAAAGUUUCUUGAAUAGGUCUGCUAAUGAAUUGCCCUCUCACUUCAUCAAAAGACCAACAACACUGCAUAUGUUGUGGUCCUACCCAACACUAAUACAAUUGUGUUGUGUGGUGCUAAAUAGCUUGCUUGGGAGCAGCAAGGCACCCUACAUGUGGCUUUGUAGUUACGACUCUGAUCUUCAGUCUCAGCAAACAAAGGAGGUAUUUAUUUCAUUUUGUUAGGCCAAUCUGGACUUAACCAGAAAACACUAUUGAUUUAAAUAGUUGACAUUACUUGAUCAAGAAAACUGAAGUUAAUAAAUUGAACUUAAGCUACUCGGUCUAAACUCAAUUUUUAAAAAACCAUUUUCCAUUACAACUCUUGGUUUAACAAAACCAUUGCCAGUCUUGUUUUAGGCAAGUUCGGCGAAAAGCCUACUAGAGAAAUCUAGAAAAUUCUAGAGAGAAGGAGAAGCUAGGUUGAUAAUCUCUUCUUGCCUUUGCUUAUGGCAACAACUGAAGAAGCCAUGUAAACUUGGCUUGCACUCUCUAGCAUAGGGAAAGUCGUGCAUAUAUAUUGUGCCAUUUUUUUAUGAAAGAAACUUAGUUGUUCGGCUCAGUGUCUCUCUAUAUUAACUCAUGAUGACUCUCCUCCUUAUUAUUCUUUCAGUCCAUUGAGAGAUGUUAAGCAUACUGUGCUUAAUAUAUUAUUAAAUUAUCAGAUACAGUCAUUUUGGCCCCAUGGAUAAAGGAAGUACAAAGUAAACCAUUAUACUUUCAUUUUCUGAAAAAUAUGCUGUCAUUGAUGAUUUUAUUUUAUGACAGAGCUACAAGUACAAUGAAAAAUAAGACAAGAAAGUGGAUCAGGAUUUAAAUUUGCAUUCCAAUAUAUUUUCCUGGAGAGUAACAAAGGUUACACAUCAGAAGAUCAUAGCAUCCAACCCAAAUGUGGAGAGGCCCAAGAUCUUUUAUACUACAAUGCACGUCUUUAAGUUCCGUAUGUACUCUCAAGAACAAUAGUUCAAAAUUUCAAUCAUGAUUUUGGACUAAAGUUUUUCAACGUCCAUAGUAUCUUCGUUUGUCGGAUUCAUGAACUUUUUAACUUUAUGCUCAGAUCACAAGCAGCUUCAGGCUUACAGAUUGCUUCCUCUCAGCACAAGAUGUAAGUCGACUCAGUGGACGAUCAAGAAUAGCCUCUUUCUCAUCAUUACUCAGUGAGUUCUGGAAUGAGGAUGCUUAUACAUGAAUGAAUUUGGAUCAUAGUUUCUUUUCUUUGGUGUGCACUCAUACACUUAAGCGGGAAGUGAGAUGAAGGAAGGUGUCUUCACUGCAGGGGAUUGUGAUACCACCCAUGGGAUGAUCCUAUCCAAAUUCUUCUUCAGCUUGACUCAGCAAAUCCCGGAACAAAGGCUCAUUCAAAUAUGAUAUUGGAAUCAAAAACCGUUUCUUUUGGCUCUUCCCAACAUCGACUGCAAAAUAGCCUUUUGGGAUAUCUAAGGUCUUUGAAUCAUCUGUCUGACUUGAACUAGAUAGAGAUCGAAUGAGACUUCUCUUGGCGUUAACAAUUCCAGGCAACCGGAAACCCAUGAUUUAGUAUUCUCAAGAGGACAAGACAAGAGGAAAAAGAUUGGCAAGGAAUUGGAAAAAACAGAGAGAGCUUUGAUGCGUGGGAAGGAUAGGACUUGAGUAGCUCAUGAUGAACCGAUCAUAGUAUAUAUAUAGCUGAAAGGUAUGCAAAAAAAUCAUCAGGUACAUGGAAUGAUUUGUACCGAAAAGGAACUGAGAGGAGAAGCAAUGAGGACCACUAGCUGUACGAUAGUCAAAGUUUACACUAGCUGUUAUCAUUCUGAGUUUAUCUCUUUCUCAGAUUAGGAAGAGGUACUCUUCUAGAGCAUUUAGCUAGAGAGAAUGAAUAGGAGAAUAUGAAAAAUGCACUGUUCUAUUGAUUUCUGCAAAACUGCAGCUUACAAAGUGUGACUGCUAGGAGAGAAAUGUGAUUCUCUUCUAACAGAAUUACAGCUGUCAUCCUAUUAGAUUCUUACACCUGUCAUAGCAAAUCUAAGCUAGAGAAUCCACCUAGACUAUGAUCUAAUGGCUCUCCUUACAUCAUUUAAAUAAGCUGACCAAAAACAGAACAAAUAGAGAAUAGCUUCAGCUCUAAGAAAUCUGCUGCAGGAUUAUAUUUCAACACUCCCUUCUAAUCCUUUAGCUGAUUUCACACCAAGCAAGCUUCUCAGCCUCACAAACCGAUCCUUAGGUAGAGCUUUAGUCAAGAUGUCUGCUAUCUGAUCUUCUGUUUUGCAGUAUAUCAGUUCAAUUUCUUUUGCUUGAAUGGCUUCUCUGAUAAAAUGAAAUUUCCUGCUGAUGUGUCUUGUCUUUUGGUGAUGGACUGGAUUCCUUGCCAUUGCAAUUGCUGAGGUGUUAUCACAUAGAAUCUGAGUCCCUUCUAUCUGUUCUUCACCAAAAUCUUCAAGCACAAAUCUCAGCCACUUAGCUUGUGAAGUUGCUUCUGCAGCACUCACAUAUUCAGCUUCGGCUGUAGAUAGAGCAACUGUGUUUUGCUUGAUGGAAGCCCAAGAGAACAUGCCUGAGCCUAGUGUGAAGGCAUAUCCUGAGGUGCUCCUCAUAUCAUCUUACUCCCAGCCCAGUCACUGUCACAGUACCCAAUUAGAGUAGCUGUCUUCCCUUUUGCAAACUCAAUUCCAAAAUCCAAUGUGCCUUGAAUGUAUCUCAGCACCCUUUUAGCAGUUCCCAUGUGUUUCUUUGAGGGAUUGUGCAUAAAUCUAGCAAGCAAGCUAGAUGCAAACAUGACAUCUGGUCUUGUGGCAGUCAGAUAAAGGAGACUUCCUACAAUCUGUCUGAAUUCACUUUCAUCUGCUGCUUCACUCCCAUCUUCUCUACACAAUUUCUCAUUCACCACUAAUGGAAUUGCCACUGACUUGCAAUCUCUCAUUCCAAACUUCUCAAGAAUUUUCAUGGCAUAUUUCUUUUGAUGAAUGAAAAUAUGCUUGUCAGUUUGUUCCACUCCCAUGCCAAGAAAAUGAUGCAACAGACCCAAGUCUGUCAUCUCAUAGUGUUGCAUCAUAUCUUGUUUAAAUUCUUCAAGCAUUUUAGGACAGCUUCCAGUGUAUAUAAUGUCAUCUACAUAGAGGGAGACAAUGAUAAUACCUGAGGUGUCACUAGUUUUGAUAUAGAGAGUAGCUUCACUUAAGCUUUUCUUGAAACCUGCAGUGUUGAAAUAGGCAUCUAUUUCAUCAUACCAGGCCCUUGGGGCUUGCUUCAGUCCAUAUAGAGCCUUGUUCAACCUGAACACCUUGGUUUCCUUGCUCUCUUGAACAUAUCCUUGAGGUUGUUCAACAUAAACUUCCUCCUUUAGAAUGCCAUUGAGAAAAGCAGACUUCACAUCCAAUUGAAAUAAGUUCCAUUCCUUUUGUGCUGCAAGGGCUAUCAAAGUUCUGAUGGUGUCAAGUCUUGCCACGGGGGCAAAUGUCUCAUUAUAGUCGAUUCCAGGCUUCUGUGAGUAGCCUUUAGCCGCAAGCCUAGCUUUAUUCUUCUGCACAGUACCAUCUAGGUUCAGUUUGACCUUGUAGACCCACUUAACACCAAUUACUGGUUUGUUAGAUGGCCUGUCAACUAAUUUCCAAGUAUUGUUCUUCUCAAUCAUCUCCAAUUCAGCCUCCAUUGCACAUCUCCAUGAUUCAUCCAAAUCUGCUUCUUCAAAGCUGUCAGGUUCUACAAUGCACAUAUUGCAUUGUGCCAUGAUGUCAUUAAUACUCCUCCACUUGUGAGGUGUGUGAUCAAACCUUUGAGUCUCAUCAAGCAUUUCUUCCCCUUGAGGUGCAAUUUCUUCUUCCAUCUACAUUUGAGUAUCCAAGAACUGAGAGUGAUCAUCUAAUACCCUCUGUUCAGUUUCUGCAGUAUCUUGAUUUCCAUCUGGCAUAGGUAUUCCCACAUCUGCAUUGCUAGGAUUCUCCCAUUUCCAUGAGGCUUCUUCAUCAAAAUAGACAUCCCUAGACAAGAUAAUCUUUCUUGUCUUAGGAUCAUACAGUCUAUAGCCUUUUUCACACAAUCCAUAGCCCACAAAAAUGCAUUUGUGACUGUUUUCUUCCAACUUGUGUCUCAAAACAGAAGGAAUAAGCACAUAACAUAGGCAUCCAAACACUUUCAAGUGUGCAAUACCUGGCUUUCUUCCUGUGUAGGCCUCAAAUGGUGUCAUUUUCUCAAGAGAUUUAGAAGGACAUCUGUUGAGAAGGUAGACUGCUGUAUGAACAGCUUCUGCCCAAAACUCAUAAGGAAGAUUCUUUUCAUGUAGCAUAGACUUUGCCAUCUCAAUUACUGUCCUGUUCUUCCUCUCAGCAACUCCAUUUUGCUGAGGAGAAUAUGCCACUGUCAGCUGCCUUUGUAUUCCAGCCUCACUGCAGUAUGCAAGGAAUUCAUUUGACAUGAAUUCUCCACCUCUAUCACUUCUAAGUGACUUCACUUUGUGUCCACUCUGCAAUUCUGUCAUUGCUUUGAACUUCUUGAAACAUUCAAAAGCAUUAGAUUUAUUUCUGAGAAAAUAAACCCAAGCCAUUCUUGUAUGGUCAUCAAUGAAUAAUAGGAAAUAUCUGUUUUCUGACAUUGAUGCAGUCUGCAUUGGACCACAGAUGUCAGUGUGAACUAAUUCUAGUGGAGACUGAGCUCUCCAAGUAGAUUUUGCAGGAAAUGAGUCUCUAUGCUGCUUUCCCAACUUGCAGCCUUCACACACUGCUAAGUCCUUCUCCAGACUAGGCAGUCCAUGAACCAUGUCUUGAUUUGCUAGCAUCUUGAUGCUUUGAUCAUUAAGAUGACCCAGCCUUUUAUGCCAAGUCUGCAAACUGUGAGUCACACUUGCUCUCAGCACCAACUGAGUAGCAGGUACCAUUGUGAGAGAGAAACUGUCACACCCCGGACCGGCUCCGCCGUAGCACGAUAUUGUCCGCUUUGGGCCCCCCUCUCUGCCCUCACGGUUUUGUUUUUGGGAGCUCACGAAGCAACUUCCCAGGGUGGUCACCCAUCCUGGGAUUGCUCCAGCCUCCCACUCGCUUAACUUUGGAGUUCUUACAACUCUGAAGCCAGUGAGCUCCCAAAAGGCCUCGUGCUACGGCGGAGCCGGUCCGGGGUGUGACAAUUUGGUAUCAGAGCCACUCUGCCGUGUGGUGCGAGUGUGCCGACGAGGACGUCGGGCCCUUAAGGGGGGUGGAUUGUAAGAUCCCACAUCAAACCAACGGAGAGGGGGGUGAUGUGCCUUAUAUGGCACACCCGCAUCCAUCUAGCACGAGGCCUUUUGGGAGCUCACUGGCUUCGGAGUGGUAGGAACUCCGAAGUUAAGCGAGUUGGAGGCUAGAGCAAUCCUAGGAUGGGUGACCCACUGGGAAGUUGCUCGUGAGUUCCCAGAAACAAAACCGUGAGGGCCAGAGAGGGGGGGCCCAAAGCGGACAAUAUCGUGCUACGGCGGAGCCGAUCUCGGGAUGUGACAGAAACACCUAUUGCUAGUCAUUGGAACCUUAGCUAUAGGGUUUUGCAGUGACCAAUCAUCAAAAAUUGUCACCAUUCCCUUUCCAAAUACUAAACAAUACCCAUGUUCCAUCAUCUGACCAACACUUAGCAAGUUCUCUUCUAAACCAGGCACCAACAUCACUUCUUGAAUGUGUUUUCUGCCUGAUUUGGUUUCUAUCACAAGAGUACCUUUUCCUGCAACUUGAACUGUCUCUCCAGUCCCCAUUUUCACCUUGGAAGUUACAUUCCUUCGAAUGUCUAUCAGUAGCCUUUCAUCUCCAAUCAUAUGGUUGCUACAGCCACUGUCCACAUACCAAGAGUUGCUCAUUUUCACAUCUGUCACAGCAUUGCAUGCAUAAAACAAUGUUCCAGUUUCUUCAACCUGAUUGGCAUAGUUCACCUUUUGCACAGAUUGAUUGUCAUGACAAUUUCUAACCAUGUGACCAAACUUUCCACAUCCUCUGCAUUUUGGUUUUCCUUCAAACCAGCACUUGCCAUAGUGCAGUUUUUCACAGUGCUUGCAGGGUGUUUUAGUUCCAUCAUUUGAUGCAUUUGGUUUGGUAUUUGAAUUGGACUUGUUAUUCCAAUUCUUCCUAUUUUCCUUCCAGUUCUUCUGAGACUUGUUACAUCCAGAAGAACUUCCAUUCUUAGAGCUUUUACUCUCAAUGUUCAGACUAGUGAAAGCCUUUUCUGUUGAAUUUUCAUUGUGCCUGUCUAAUCUGAGCUCAAAGUUCUUGAGAGAUGCAACCACUUCUUGAAUUUCAAGAGUGUCAAGAUCCUUUGAAUGCUCAAUCACAGAACAUAUAGAAUCAUAAGAUCUAGGCAAACUAAUAAGCAAUUUCUGCACAACUCUUUCUCUAGGUAACUCUUCACCAUAAUUCUUCAUUUGAUUUAUCAGAUCAAACAGUUUAGCAGCAUAAACAGAAAAUGAUUCACUAUCCUUCAUACGAGUGUAUUCAAACUCUCUACGUAAGCCUUGUAGUUUCACACUUCUUACCUGUUUAUCACCUCUAAACUCCUGCUUCAGGAUAUCCCAUGCACCUUUUGAGGUUUCUUCAUUCACUAUUCUGGGAAAAAUUUGGUCUGAGACUGCACCUUGGAUCAGUCCAAGUGCACGAGCAUCUUUCAUCAAGGUCUCAGCUGAUACAGAUUUCUCUUCUUCAGCAGCUUUAGAUCCCUCUUCCUUUCCUUCUUCCUUCGUUGGAUCUGAAGCAUCAAAGCCAUUUUCAACUAAAUCCCACAGUCCAUGAGAUUUCAGAAUGGUCUUCAAUCGAAUGCUCCAAAACUUAUAGUUUUCUCCAUUGAAUACUGGUGUACGAAGCUCAGAAGAGCUUGAUCCUGCCAUAUUAGACAUCAGACGCAGCUAGACAAGCUUCGUGAAGUUUUGAGUGAGCUCAAUCGUCAGCUCAGCCAAGCACCAGCUCCUUCUUCACAGAUUCACGCCCAAUAAACAAUCAAAACCUGGCUCUGAGGCCAUGUUAUCAUUCUGAGUUUAUCUCUUUCUCAGAUUAGGAAGAGGUACUCUUCUAGAGCAUUUAGCUAGAGAGAAUGAAUAGGAGAAUAUGAAAAAUGCACUGUUCUAUUGAUUUCUGCAAAACUGCAGCUUACAAAGUGUGACUGCUAGCACUACUACAAAAAGUGAAAAAGACGACCAGAAAACAACGACGGUCUAAGUGAAAACCGUCGUGGUUUUUAAAAAGACGACGGUUCUAAAAACACCGUCGUGUAAUACAACCUUAGACAACUAAAAAAUGGAGAUUCAAAUGGCUGUUCAAAAACAACGACGUACAUAAUUAAACAACCGACGUCUAUUUGAAACAGAUUUCCGCAGUGUAAAAUCAAUGCCAACAAAGAACAGCAGAAGUUAUGAAUCGACCGACGUAGAAAGUAAAGACGACGAUUUCAAUAAAAACCGCCAUUUUUACUCAUAAAAUAACACGACGAGGUUUUCGUAUAAGACGCCGUAUAAUUACAAACAAAUCCAUGGCUUUAAAAUACAAAAUAUCGCCGUAUUAAAUUAAUGUACAACGACGGAAAAUAUAAAUAUAUGGACGUCAUUCUCGUAUAGUUCUACGACGUUAUCUUUAAAUCGUACAAUAAAAUUUAACAUCGUAUUUAUUCAUUUUAUACGUCGUACAUGUCGUCUUAAUAAGAAUUUUUGUUAACAAUUUUUUUCUUUGAUUUUCUUAUCCUACGUCGGUAGAUCUACUUAAUGACAAGAAUUGAAAUAACCACGACGGUUUAUAUAGAAAACCGCCAACAUAAUCAGAUUUGUCUGAGAUCCCAAGGGUUACGAAAUCUUACCAGAUGGAACUCUGUUCCACAUCAUAAUCUUAACAGAUGACACUGAUUUGCAUUCAGAGAGACAAUUUUUUGGAAGUUGAUGAUGUGUGUGCGUUUGUGUAUCUACAAAUAUUAUACCUAACGUCGUUGCAAAUUUGCAAUCAGAGAGACAAUUUUCAACGACGGUUAUAUUAUACCUAACGACGUUUAAAAAACAAAUCAACGUCGCUAAACAAAUAUAUUAUGUCGUCUUAGUCUUACUUAAGACGACGAAAAACGACGACAGUAAUAAAAAACAGUCGUUGUUUUUAUAUUCUUAUUUUAUUUAAAUCUGUCCUCCAAAAAAGAAACUUUACAUAUUCCAGAACAUUAAUUUCCUUCAUUUUAAAUUUCCCCCGGAAAAAAAAACUCUAUUUAUAACGCACUGUAAUUGAAAAAUAAACUGAAAGGUCACGGGAAAAAAAAUUCUAUUCAUAAUUUAAAAAUUCAAAUCCACGUCGGUUAUAUUAAACAUAACGACGUUAAAUGAAAAGAUUCCACGUCGCAAAACAAAUAUUGCGUCGUGUUAGUUAAAAACGACGGCAUAACAAAAAACCGUCGUUGUUUCAAACUGAAUUAAUUUAUUCGGGAAAGCAAAAUCUAUUUAUAAUUUCCUCGGGUUAGUAAUAUUGCGUCGUGUUAGUUUACAAAUUCAAGAACAUUAAUUUCCCUCAUUUUAAAUUUCCUCGGGAAAGAAAAAUCUAUUUAUCACGCUUUGUAAUUGAAAACUAAAACUGAAAGAAUUCGGGAAAAAAAACUCUAUUUAUAAUUUAAAAAUAAAAUCCACGUCGGUUGUAGUACACUUAACGACGUUUAACAAAAUAAUCUACGUCGGUAAUUAUAAAUCUACCGCCAUCUUACCUUAAUAUAGACGACGAGAAAAGACGACGGUAGAACAGAAAACCGCCGUUGUUUCAGUUUCUUUAACAGUUUGGUCCUUUAUCUUUCUGCAGGACUUGUAUAGUUCAAAGCAUUGACAAUGUCUUCAUCAUAUCUCCCAGCAACUACUGAUUCGAUUGCUCAUGCUUUAGAGGCCAUCUGAAGCCAUUUCUAUUCUUUAUCGCAUUCUUGAAACCCAUCUUCUUCUUCUGAAGCUCUACGGAUAAAGGAAGAGGCUAUCACAAAUCUGACGGAUCUUCUUAGCCAAGAAAAUCAAGCAGAUUUCCCUGAGAAGCGAACUUUCCUUCGACAGCGAGUGGAGGCCAGGCUUGCAUCUCUUUUGAUGGAAAGCAAGGAGUAUUCAGAAGCACUAAGUGUCCUAUCAGGCUUGAUCAAGGAAGUGAGAAGGCUAGUUGACAAGCUUCUUCUUGUGGACAUAUAUUUGAUGCGAGUAAGCUCAAUUUCUCUUUGAGAAAGACAUCCAAAUUAUUGUCUUUGAGACGUGAGAGACUGAGAGAGGAAGAACUUGGAACCGUAAAUGUAAACCGAAAAUGAAUGAAAGCGACAAAUUUAUAGAAUAAAUUUUUAAAACCAACGGCGGUCCUUACAAAAAAACCGCCGUUUAAAUUGUAAAAUCAACGUCGGUAUGAUCGACGUAUAUUACAGAAAUCCACGUCGGUACAUUAAUAAAAACGACGUGUUAAAUAAUCUACCAUGACGCGAGUUAUUACUUAUGUACUUUAAUUUUUGAGUUUACUACGAUGGUACCUACAACACUACUGUCGUAUUUAUUUACCACGUCCGAAGUUAAAUGUACCGUCGUAUUUUGUAAUUUAUACGUCGUAGUUAUAUAUAACCGCCAUAUUAUUUUUUUGAAAUGGUUUUAUAUGUAAGCAACUUUUCGUCUACCUGACAUACACAUGCGCUGUUUCCAAACCCGAUUAAAAAUUUCAAUCUCCCAGAGAAAACUUUUAGACUUUUUUCCUUGUCAGAGCACUGUCAGAGUAUCUCAUCGUCUUCCUCUCGUCUUCUUCGUCGUCUCUGAACUUAAACAUAAUCUUCCUCUUGCUUUCAUUAUACGCAAAAGGUAAGCUUUCAUUUUCACUAUUUUGGUUGCUGUUUUGCAUGCUCAUACGUUUUUUGUUUGAAAAAUCUUUUUACCUUUUUUCUGGCCAAAAUCAUUUUACUUCUUUCCAAGUUCGAUAAAAUAUACAGACAAAGAGGGAAAGUUUCCAACUUUGAAGACAACUACCUCAACUAAAUAAGACGACGGUAGCUUCUUAUUUACGUGGUUAAAUAUGUAGACCACGACGGUUCGUCAGUCGUUCUAGCGUCGUCUGAAAAUUGACAAAGUUGUUUUUAAAAUUAUAGUCUUUUUUUUAUUUGCUUGUUUAAUUGCAGGUUUGAUUUCUCUGAACAAUGGUUUUUGUUUUUCCCUAAUUUGAUAAAAUAUAAAGAAAAAGAAAGUAGGGUUGGUAUCUAAUAUAGACGACAGUAUCUUAUUGUUUUACGUCGUGUGAAUGUUAAUACCACGACGUCAUAUUAAAAUACCGUCGUCUAUAUAAGAUUCCAAAACUUUCUUUCUUGGCCUUGUAUUUUAUCAAAUUAGAAAACAAAAACCAUGGUUCAGAAAAAUCAAAUCUGCAAUCAAACAUUCACAGAGAAAGAAAGAAGGGUUUUGGAUCCUUAUAUAGACGACGGUAUAUUACUACUGACGUCGUGUAAACAUCAAUACCACGACGUUAUAUAAAUAUUUCGUCGUUUAUAGUUAAUUAUCACGUCGUUUAUAGUUAAUUAUUUCGUUGUUGUUUAAUUACCUUGGUUUUAAACAUUUAUUACGUCUGAGAUUAUUUCAUUGCGUCGUUUAAAAUCAUAUCAUACGUCGUAUUUUAUUAAUAACCGUCGUUUGUGUUCUUAAUCUUUUCCUGAAAUAUUUUCACUUGCAGUUUUGUCUGUAAAAAUGGUUUCUCACCAAGACCAAAGUAAGGAUUCUGGCUCCAAGAAAAAUGGAGGUAAGGAGCUUGGAAUGGUACCUCCUCAAGUGAAGCCUUCGAAGAAGAUGAAGUUUGCUCCAUCAUCUGCUGAGACAGAACCAACCAGCACGACAACAAUCUCUGAUGAUUCAAAGUCUGGUCGAGGUAUGAGCACAAUGCCUCGUGUUGUGAAGAGAAAACUUCAGAAACUGAGGCCAAUUGUUGAGUACAAUAAAAGGGGGAAAGGAAUUGGCCAAGCACAUAGUGAGAUGCAGUCCUACAUUGGUGUGUUGGCACGCUCCAGAGUUCCACUUGUGGACAUGAAAUGGGCUCAAAUCCCCAAGGAUAUAAAGGAGCAGAUUUGGGAAGCAGUUGACAUUGCUUUUGUGGUAGGUCAAGGGGGCAAGAGCUCUGUGUUAGCUUCUGCUGUCAAGAAAUAGAAGGAUUUCAAGUCUACACUAACGAGGCAUUAUAUCCUUCCAUACACCAAUGACAGGGAGAGAUUAAGCCAACCCCCUGAAACAUAUAAAUUCAUAGAGAAAGCACAAUGGGAUGCCUUUGUAGCUUCAAGGUUAUCCAAAGAUUUUGAGUCUGUGCAUUCUCAACAUGCACAGAUUAGGGAGAAACUUGAGUACAAUCAUCGAUUGUCUCGAAAAGGAUAUGCUGGUUUGGAGGAUCAAUUGGAGGAAACCAUGCCUGGGGUAGAAAUUGGUCGAUCUACCUUAUGGAAGAGAGCUAGACAGGACAAACAUGGUAACAUCCCGGAUCCAAAGGUGGCAGAGAAAGCAAAAUUAAUUGUAAGCCUACUCACUCUGUUUUAAAUUUUUAUUCAACUGUGAAUAAUUCUUAUUACGUCUUAUGUUAUAUUUUGCGUCGUGUGAAUGAUAUUACCACGUCGAAAUUUUUUAAACAACGUCGUUAAAGGUCUAAAUAGGAAUCACUACUCUGUUUUCUGUAAUUAUAGCAUAAGAUGUCGGUGGUUCAUUUUCGCGUCGUUUGUAUUGAAUUACUACGUCGAAAUGUUUUAAACAAGGUCGUUAAAGGUGUGAAUAUUGAAUCAUCCCUCUGUUAUCUGUAAAUAAAGCAUAAGACGUCGGAGGUUUAUUCAUUUCGUCGUUUUAAAAACUAACCACGUCGGUAUAACUACCGUCGUGAUAAAUUAUAAUAACGUCGAUUUAUAUGUUAUUGCGUCGUGUGAAAUUAUAUAAUACGUCGUUUGUAUAUAAAUAACCGUCGUGUGUUUUUGUUCUUACUUUUUUAUAUAUCUUUGUUUUAGGAUGAAUUGCAAAAACAAGUCUCGGAAGGCAAAGUCACUGUUUCUGGCAGCAAUGAUGUGCUGACCAUGGCUUUGGGCCCCGAGCAUCCAGGCAGAGUGAGAGGAGUAGGUGCUGGGAUCUCACCAAGGCAAUAUUUCAAUUUACCCAAACCACAGAGAGUGAGCUUUGACGACCGUUUGAAUGACAGUUUAAGAGUUCUCCUUCAAGAAGAGACUAAAAAGAUGGAAGCUAAGGCAAGGGAAGAGGCUUUAAGGAUGGAGGCUAGAACGAAACAAUUGGUAGAGGCUGAGAGGGAGCAUUUCCUGAGUCAGCUUUCCCAAUUAAUUCCCAAUUUUGAUCCAAGCAUGCUUAAACCCAGAAUUAGCCAAAGUCCCAAAAAUCCAAUGUCUGACAAAACAAGCUGCUCUGGAGGUGAUGUGAGAUCCCAGCAUUUUGAGGAUGAUACUGCCAAAAAUGGGAAACAUCAGGAAGAAAAGGUAACAUAUCUGAACUUUGAAUUCUCUGUUUUUUUAAAAACCAUUAGACGUCGUUAUUAUUAAUAAAACCGUCGUUUGAAAUACAUACCACGACGAUUUUAAAAAUAAGUCGUCGUUUGUAUUUCAAUACCACGUCGUAUUUAGUUUACUUGUUUUACACGCCAUUAAACGUCGUUAUUUUUAAAACUUUGUGGUUUUUAGACGACGGAGUUAGUCAUUCCCGCCGUAAUAGAUGAAGAGAAGAGAGAAGAAAAACAAGAUGAAAAGGAGAAAGAAGAUGACGACCAGGUAUGUUCACAUAACUUUGCCUUUUUUAUUUGUUUUUCAAAAUUCCAGACGUCGAUAUUUUUCUUUAAACCGUCGUUUGUUUACAACUUAGACGGCGGAAUUUUUUUCUAAGACGUAAUAAAUUAUUCACCACGACGGUUUCUUCACCGUCGUUUAAAUUCUUUUCAGACGACGUUGUAUUCCUUAAACCGUCGUUUUUAUUGAAUUACCACGUCAUUUUUUUUAUUUCUUUAAACAGGUUAUUCAAGGUGUUGAUUAUUCAAAUAUGGAGGCGCCAUCUUCUUUAAAAUCCCUUUGUCGUUAUGUGGAAACGACACUCGUGCCUCAGGAUAAGACCCUGCACUUUACAAUUGAUAAGGAGGUGUUUGGUCUAGAGCGCGAUACCUUCCUCCUGCCUGAAGAUAUUACACAAUUUGCAGGCAUGGAAGAAAUAGGAGCCACUGUCAUUGCUGUAUAUAUGAGGUUUGUCAUUCUAAAAUAAUACGUCGUUGGUUUAUUUAUUGCGUCGUCUUAACCAACUAACCGCGUCGUUAGUAUGUACCGUCGUGAUAAAUAUAUUAUAACGUCGUUGUCUAUUUCAGUACGUCGUGUGAAAUUUUAUAAUACGUCGUUUUGUUAUACAUAACCGUCGUGUGUUUUAUGUAUAUAUGAGGUUUGUCAUUCUAAAAUAAUACGUCGUUGGUUUAUUUAUUGCGUCGUCUUAACUAACUAACCACGUCGGUAGUAUGUACCGUCGUGAUAAAUAUAUUAUAACGUCGUUGUCUAUUCCAGUACGUCGUGUGAAAUUUUAUAAUACGUCGUUUUGUUAUACAUAACCGUCGUGUGUUUUUUUGUGCUGACUUGUUUAUAUUAUUUUAUAUAUCUAGGUACUUACACGAUGUUUUGAAACGAGCAAAUAUGUGCUCCAUGGUUGGCUUUAUCGACCCUGCUACAGUUAGUGCCAGCUCUGGCACAAUAGCUGACAGAUCACGCCUACUAGCAGCUCGACUUCAGAGGACUGACGGUGAACAGAUUUUCCUGAUGCCUUACAAUCCAGGGUUAGUCUCCUUAACAGGAUUUUGAUUUUAUGAUUUUCAAUAAAUGACAGCGUAUAAACUAACCACGUCGGUGUUUUAUUUUAUUGAGUCGUUGCAAAACUACUAACCACGUCGGUAGUUAUUUAUCGUCGUGAUAAAUUUAUAAUGUCGUCGAUUGCUUCUUUAUUUCGUCGUGUGAAAUAUUAUAAUACGUCGUUUUUGUAAAUAACCGUCGUUUUAUAUUAAUUUUGUGCAGCCGUCAUUGGAUCUUGCUGAUUGUAAGAGCAAAGAGAGAAACCGUCUAUUUUCUGGAUUCUCUGCCAGGAAAUCGUGUGGUCGAUGAAGAGGCCAAAAACAUUGUGAACAGUGCUAUAAAAAUUUAUAACUCUCACAUAGCUAGACCAGGCCGUAAGGCAGUCAUUUGGAAAACUCUGUCAGGCACACCAAAGCAACCCAGCAGUGUCGAAUGCGGGUAUUAUGUGAUGCACUUCAUGAGGGACAUCAUCAUGGAUCCUUCCUUGGGGUUUGAGAAGAAGGUAAGAAGAAAUUACCUUCAUACAUUUUACGUCGUUUUAUGUAUUAUCAACGACGGUCAUGUAAAAUUACCGUCGUUGAAUAGAUAGUACGUCGGUUAUGAAAAAUAUCGUCGUCUGUGAUUUAAUUUCUUUUUAUUUAUAAACCCUAAUAGUCAUUGUUUAUGUAGUAUGCCAAGGGAAAACAGGAAGCGCCAUACCCCCAAGAAGCAAUUGAUGAAGUCUGGAAUGAAUGUGCAGAGUUUGUUUGCCUUCACCUGGAAUAGGGGAAUUAUUGAACGCUUGAUAUUUAUGUAUAAUGUACAAAUUUUGUCUAUAAUAUAUAAUGUAAAAAUUUGUUGAGGUUUUCUUAAAUUAAAAAAAAAAACAAACAUACAAAUUGCGUAAACGACGUGUAAUACUUUUCCAACGACGUAAUAAAGUCAAAAGCCGUCGUUUUUUGUUGUUUCGUUUUAAACAAAUCCGACGUAAAAGGAUAUUUAGACGACGUUCUUUGAACAAUUGAGUCGUUUAUGGUUUACAACGUCUUCAAUUUCUUAAGGGUUCAGGGUAGUACUUUGUAACGACAGCGGUUAAGUCGUGGAAUAUAUAUUUUAUGUCGGAUAGUUAAAUAUCCGCCAUGGUUUCUCAUUUAAACGACGUCAUUUUAACAACUUAGUCGUCUAUUACAAUUUACAACGUCUACAAUUUAUUAACACCGACGUGGUUUGUUGUUGUGAUAAGAAUAUUUUAUUAUUUUUAUAUCAAAAUAUUCAAAAUAAAUUUAAAAUAAAUCAGAAAAAUGCAAAGUCAACUCCUAUGAAGUCAUUGAUAUAUUUUCUUCCCCUAAACCUUGAAAAAAUUCAUUUUGAAUAACAAAAAUUUAAAAUGGCCAUCCAAAACAAAAUUAUUUUGAUGAGUCAUAAAAUCACUUCUAGUUUUAUGGUUUAGGGUUUAGAGUCUAGGGUUUAGAGAUUAGGGUUGUUAUUUAUUGGGGUUUAUUUUUAAAGUAUAAUUUUUGGGUAGUCUAGGGUAUAUAUUAGGCUGUAAAACCAUAAACCCUUUUAUAAACUUAAUUUUUAAAAUUAUAUAAUUUAGUUUUAAGGGUUUAGGGUAUUAAUUGUUAACGACGGUGGUUGAGUCGUGGAAUACAUAUGUUACGUCGUGCAGUAAAAUAUCCGACAUGGUUUCCACUUUAAACGACGUCAUUUUAAUAUGUAAGUCGUCUAUUAUAAUUUACAACGUUUUCAGUUUCUUAACUUCGACGUGGUUUUUCAGUCGUCUUUAUAUCAAAAUAUUCAAAAUAAAUUUAAAAUUAAUUCGAAAAAUGAAGCGUCAAAAGAAACGGCGUUACGUUCAGUGUUUCCGUCGUGGAAUAUUACAUUUACGUCGGUUCUUGUAGAACUUUCGCCAUGGUUUUUCUUUCGACGUUUUAAAGAACGCGCGCUCUAAAAAUUUUCGCGCGCCCUAAAUUUUUUUAUAUUUGGCUCUUAUUCUUAUACUUCUAACCCUGAACCCUAAAAUUUUCAGAUUUCGCGCAACAUAACAUUCGCUCUCUCACUUCUGCUCUAAUUAAAAGUUGCACUCUCCAGGCUCCGUCGAAUCUGUAAGCUCGUCCAACCUGUAAGUACAAACCCUAUCUUCCCCUUGUAAAUUCAUUGAAUGAUAUUAGGUUGUUUUGUUAAAUGGUUUUAGGUAUAUGCUUUGCGAUCUGUUAAUAAUGUGCUUAUAGGUAUGGGUUCAUGGAUUUUCUGUUUAAUGGGUUCAUGGAUUUUCUGUUUAAUGGGUUCAUGGAUUACAUUAUCUGUUAUGUUGAAUUGGGAAUGGAUUUAAUUUUGUCGGAUCUUUUAAUCACCCUAUGUUAUGUUGAAUUGGGAAUGGAUUUAUUGUUUUCAUGCUUGGUUUCAUGUAUAUGUUGGUUUCUUGCUUGGUUUCAUAUAUAUGUUGUGUUCUUAAUGGGUUUUGGGUUCUUGAAAAUAAACUGAGACACGACGCCUUUUUAGGCAUACGACGACGAUUACACGACGGUUUAUGAAAAAACUGUCGUUGUAUUACUUAUACACGACGGUUUUUUCAUAAACCGUCGUUUGUAUUACUUAUAUUAGACGACGUCUGUUGAAAAUCCGUCAUCUAUAUAUGCCAAAUACGUCUGUUUUUGUUUAAAACUCGUCGUCUCUGUUGUGUAUUACUUGCUAUUAGAUCUUUGUAUAAUCUGCUAUAGUGAUGGUCAUUGCCUGUAUUUUCACUUUAUUAUAGAUAAUAGGUUAUAGUGUCGGAGAUGGAUAAGUCAUGGAUGCACUCGAAUAGAAGAUCGAAGGCAUAUGAGUUUGGGGUGGAAGCAUUUUUGAACUUUGCUGUAGAAAAUCUUCUAACUACAACACAUAUCCGUUGUCCAUGUGUUAAAUGUGUUAAUUUGAAGUUGUUUGGGGUUGGAAUUAUAAGGGAUCACUUAUACUUUAAUGGAAUUGACCAAAGCUAUAAGAAUUGGACAUUUCACGGAGAACCUUGGGAAGCAACUACUAAUGCUAGUAGAAAUGUUGAAGAAGAUGAUGGCCAUAGUAGGUACAGUUUUGUGUCUGAAGAAAUUGAUAUGGAUGAUAAUGAUUUUGGUGAUUUUGGUUCUGAUCCGUAUGAGUUUGCCAAUGUGAUUGGGGAUGGAGAUCAACCAGUGUACCCUGGUUGUAGAAAGUACACGAAGUUAUCGGCAUUAGUGAAGUUGUAUAAUUUGAAGGCAAAACAUGGGAUGAGUGAUGUCUGUUUUACAGAAUUAUUGAUACUUCAAGGCGAUUUGCUUCCAGAAGGAAAUACAAUACCAACCUCUAUGUAUGAGGCUAAAAAGACUUUGUGUGCAUUGGGGCUGAGUUAUGAGAAAAUGCACGCAUGCCCCAAUGAUUGCAUCUUGUAUAGGAAGGAGUAUGAGGAUUCAACUAAUUGUCUUACUUGUGGUAUCUCAAGGUGGAAGGAAGGCAAAGAUUCAAUCUUGAAAGAGGGUGUGCCAGCGAAGGUGGUGUGGUAUUUUCCUCCAAUUCCAAGGUUUAAAAGGAUAUUUCAAUCACAUGAGACAGCUAAGAGUUUGACUUGGCAUGCUGCUAGAAAAUCAAUUGACGGUCAGAUGUCUCAUCCGGCGGAUUCCCCGUCUUAGAAACUUCUUGAUGAUAAAUGGCCUGAGUUUGGUAAUGAGCCGAGAAACUUGAGAUUGGCUCUUUCAUCUGAUGGAUUCAAUCCCCACAGUUCUCUAAGUAGCAGAUAUAGUUGUUGGCCGGUUAUCUUAGUUACAUAUAAUCUCCCUCCAUGGCUGUGCAUGAAACGAAAGUUCAUGAUGUUAACCUUAUUGAUUUCCGGUCCUAAACAACCCAGAAAUGAUAUAGACGUCUACUUGGAGCCUUUGAUUGAUGAUUUAAAAUCUUUGUGGGAUGGGAUUAGAGGAGUGUAUGAUGCACAUAAUGGAGAAUACUUUACACUCAGAGCUGCAUUAAUGUGGACAAUUAAUGAUUUCCCCGCCUAUGGAAACUUAUCUGGUUGUGUUGUUAAAGGAUAUAAAGCUUGUCCAAUAUGCGGCGAUGAUACACCUAGUCACAGGUUGAAAAAUGGCCACAAAAUUUGUUACAUUGGGCAUAGAAAAUGGUUACCAAUCAAUCAUCCAUAUAGGAGGCAACGUGCAGCUUUUAAUGGGAAACCUGAAUAUGGCAUACCUCCCGAGCCAUUAACCGGAGAAGAAGUGCUGCAUAUGGUUGAAAAUGGUGACAGAGUUUGUUGGAAGAAGAACUCAAUAUUCUUUGAUCUCGAGUAUUGGAAAUACCUUCCUAUGAGGCAUGCCCUAGAUGUUAUGCACAUUGAGAAGAAUGUUUGGGAUAGUAUUAUUGGUACAUUGCUGGAGAUCCCUGGAAAAAAUAAAGAUGGGAUUGCUGCUCGAUUAGAUUUAUUGAACAUGGGGGUCAAAACUGAUUUGCAACCCGAGUAUGGAGAAAGACGUACUCGUUUGCCUCCUGGGCCUUGGAAUUUGUCAAGAGCAGAGAAGAGAGAGGUUUGCAAUUCUUUCUAUGGUAUGAAGGUCCCUGAAGGUUAUUCUUCAAAUAUUAAAAAUCUUGUAUCUUUACAAGAUUCAAGACUUCUUGGCCUUAAAUCACAUGAUUGUCAUACCUUAAUGCAACAAUUGCUCCCUGUGGCAAUUCGUUCUGUUUUGGAGAAGCCUGCCAGGUAUGCAAUAACUCGUUUGUGCUUCUUCUUCAAUGCUAUAUGUGCAAAGACUGUUGAUGUUUCCAAGCUAGAUAAGUUGGAAGAAGAUGUAGUAGUUACUCUGUGUUUGCUUGAGAAGUACUUUCCCCCUUCAUUCUUUGAUAUCGUGGUUCAUCUAGUAGUACAUCUUGUCAGAGAAGUUCGUCUAUAUGAGCCAGUAUAUUUUAGGUGGAUGUAUCCGUUUGAAAGAUAUAUGAAAGUUCUGAAGGGGUAUGUUCAGAAUCGUACUCGUCCCGAAGGUUGCAUUGCUGAGCGGUAUAUAGCUGAAGAAGCGGUAGAGUUUUGUACUCAGCAUUUAUCUGAUGUUAGUACAGUUGGAGUGCCUUCAAGCCAAAAGAUGGGACUUUCAAAGCCAUUAUCAGGUUGCACAGUGAGCGUAGUUGAUCAGGACCUGUUGAAUCAAGCACAUCUAUAUGUCUUGGAGAAUACGGAGGAAGUCCUACCUUAUAUCGAGUACGUAUGAGUUUUAUUCUUUAAGUUUCCAUUUUAAAUUAUUUCUUAUGUUUAUCUUCUAUAUUUGGGACCGUAAUGCUUGAAUUUUUCGUGUCAUGUAGGCAACAUAUGAUCCACAUCAAGACUGCUUAUCCAAAAUUUAGAAAGAGAACAAAGUGGCUGCAGGAUAAGCACAAUAGCACUUUCAUUCAAUGGCUACGCUUCAAGGUAUAUGUUGUUGAAUAACAUAUUUCUCUUUUAAUUUUCUUCUUAUUUCUAUGUUAGAUUAAGAUAUAUGAUUAAUUUGCAGGUUCAAAGUGAACUUGAGGAAGACAAUCAUGGCGUAUCAGAAAAUUUAAGGUGGCUAGCAGCUGGUCCAAACAUGGCAGUGCCAUUAUAUAGGAGCUAUCUUAUUAAAGGUAUUAAAUUCAAUAUCAAGGCACAAGAUGAUGUGCGGACAACUCAAAAUAGUGGAGUUUAUUUACUUGCACAUACCAUGCAAGUUGCUAGUGCCAAGGAUAAAAACCCAAUUCUCUCAAAUAUGGGUUUCUAUGGUGUCAUUCAAGAAAUUUGGGACCUUGACUACCAAAAGUUUACAAUCCCAGUCUUUAGGUGUGAUUGGAUAGAUAGUUCUGGUCUUGUAGUAGACGAACUUGGAUUUACCCUUGUAGAUUUGAGUAAAAUUGGACAUAGGAAUGACCAAUUUGUUUUGGCUUCUCAAGUCAAACAAAUAUUUUUUGUUGACGACCCGAUGCAUCAUGGUUGGUCGGUAGUGUUAUCAAUGCCUAAUAGAGAAUAUAAUGAUGUUAUUGGUGAUGAAGUCUUAGGUGAUGUGAUAAUUGAGUGUGAGCCAUUUACUAGAGGGAUGCCAAAUGUUGACACAUUUGAUGAACUGGUGGGUGAGUUAGGCGGUCAAAAUAUUCGAGAUGGGUGUGAAGAUAUAUGGAUUGAAUGAUGCUUAUGUAAUUGGCAGUGUAUGACAUUAAUUUUGUAAUAUAUUGUAAUGUGAUUUCUUCACUUUCUACGUUCAAAUAAAACACGACGUUAUUGUGAACCAGUUAUUCAGCAUAUUUACCGACGUCUUAAAGCAACGUAACAAUGAAGAACCAUGACGCUAUUGUGAAGCAAUUAUUCAGGAUAUCACGUCGGGGAAGGAUUAAGAACCGCCAUGUAAUUCAAAAUAACACUACUCCAAUCCCAUAAUACCGACGUCUAAAAAACGAGAUAUAUAAUCUGAACGUUAAAAAAUACGACGUCAUCAUACAUUUUCCACGUCGCAAGUUCUUUUAUAAACGAAGAGGAACGAAAUGAAUUCCGACGGUAAUUCAUUAUAACCGCCGUCUAAUAUCAAUUAAACGACGUUAUUUGUAAUACGGCUCUCAUCAUAAUCAACGCCGUCUAUAUGUUCUGUAAUACGGCUCUCAUUUAUUUGGAACCGACGUUGUUUAGAAGUUCAACGUCGUCUAUAUUAAUAAGUGCGUCGUGAGUAAUGAAUACAUAUAAAUACAACGUCGACAAUAUAAAUGCCACCGACAUUGUUUCGCAUUCAACGUCAACUAUAUAAAUACAUACGUCGUAAAUAAUGACACUGACAACUAUUUCCACGUCAUCUUUUUUAGAAAAAUCGAAGUGGAAAAUUUAUUUCACGACGGUUGUUUGUAAAUAAGAGACGUAGUAUAUUUCAAUAACGUCGUCUUCUCAUGUAUUUAAAGACGUCAUAUUUUUUCUUGUCGUGAAAAUUAUAUUUAACGGCGUAAUGUUUUAGUUAUCGUCGUUGUAUGUCUAUCUUGCGGCCUUGUUCUUUUAAUAUGUGUCAUAUUUUUCCUUUUUAACGACGGUGAUUUGUUUGAGUUGGUCGUCUAUUCUCAUCGUCGACUAUUUUUUAGAACUUUAGCAGACUAAACACGUCUGUUUUUAUUUGUUUUCGACGUUGGUUUAUUUAACAACGUCUAAUAUUUAUCGUCGUUGUUUGUUUCUGAAAAUAGGACGUAUAAAUUUUGUAAUACGACUCUCAUAUAUUUGUAACCGACGUUGUUUCCUUGUUCAACGUCUACUCUAUAAAUACAUACGUCGUAAAUAAUGACACUGACAACUAUUUCCACGUCAUCUUUUAUAGAAAAAUCGAAGUGAAAAAUUUAUUUUACGACGGCUGUUUUUAUAUAGGCGACGUAGUAGGUAUCAAUAACGUCGUCUUCUAAUGUAUUUAAAGACGUCAUAUUUUUUAUUGUCGUGAAAAUGAUAUUUAACGGCGUCUUUUUUUAAUUUUCGUCGUUGUCUGUCUAUAUUGCGGCCUUGUUCUGUUAAUAUGUGUCAUAUUUUUCCUUUUUAACGACGGUUUUUUUAGAGACUUGGUCGUCUAUUCUCAUCCUCGACUGCUUUUUUAGAUCUUUUUGCAGUACAAAGACGUCGUUUUGUAUUUGUUGAUGACGUUGUAUAUUGUAACAACGACGGUGAUUUAGCGUCGUGGUUUAUGAGGGAAAAGAUGACGGUGGAUUCCACGACCAUUGAAAAACCGAAUACACGACGGUGAUUUACCGUCGUCUUUUUGCUUUUUUGUAGUAGUGUAGGAGAGAAAUGUGAUUCUCUUCUAACAGAAUUACAGCUGUCAUCCUAUUAGAUUCUUACACCUGUCAUAGCAAAUCUAAGCUAGAGAAUCCACCUGGACUAUGAUCUAAUGGCUCUCCUUACAUCAUUUAAAUAAGCUGACCAAAAACAGAACAAAUAGAGAAUAGCUUCAGCUCUAAGAAAUCUGCUGCAGGAUUAUAUUUCAACACUAGCUUGUACCAAAUCACUUGGGUUUGUUUUCGUGCUCAUGCAACCCUUCCGCAAGAGAUUUCUCAUGAAAAUGAUCACACUCUAUCCUUGUGUAGAAAUAGGAUACCCUACCUAGCUAGCUCCUCUGGUUAACAGACAACAAAAGGGACCACCAUGUUCUUGAAAAAUGAAUUCAUUGCUCCUCUGGUUAAUUAACAGUACUGCAUAUGGUAUGCCCUACAACAAAAACUUGUUAACUUGUGUGAUAAACUAGUAGUCUAUUUCUUUUUCAUCUUUUUAUAAAUGCUGCUUCAAAAGACAAGAAUUUGUGGUGCUAUGAGAAUAUACAUGGACCCUCGGAUGCUCUAUGAUUUGGUUGGUUGGGAGCACCAAACCACCCUUGCAUGUGGCUUUGUCCUUUCAUCUAUGAUCUUCAGGCCCAACAAGCAAGGGAAGUCUUUCAUUUGUUUGAAGAAUUGAUACUUAUUGAGAAUGCAGUAGGUAAUGAGUACAUAUCUAAAAAGCAUAUGAUAUCAAGAGAGUGCUAAUCUGUAGCAAUUGUAAAAUGUAGGAUACAUACUUUUUACUUAAAGUUAAACAUAUGAAAAGAUGUUUUACUAAUCGAAUUAUUUGAUAUAGCAAAUGUAAAUUGAAAAAGAUGAAAACCAACAUUAAGUUCUCUUUGUAGGCGCUAGUAGAGUAAAACAUGCCAAUUCGUUGUAAGUGCAAGCCACAUCGCUUAUGCUUAUACUCAACAUGAAAUGAAUUGUUGACAUUACAAUUCGUGAAAUCUAUCUGUUGACUCUAGCGACGUCAGUAAUUUCAUCUAAAUUGUAGAAAUUUGUUAUAAAAACAAAGAAGAUUAUUGAACAACCUGAUUACCUAAAACCAAAUUAGAUUUUAGAAAAAUAUAGUAGAUACAUAAAACUUUAUUACCUAACAAAGAAAGAUGUCAAAUCUUUCAAAAACAUUUUCUUACAACCAAGGGAAAAAAUCCAAGAUUGAAUUGAUGAAAAUGACUUCGUUUGGACCACUCAAACCUUCUUUGCUAAUUACUCAGUUAGCUAGUUUGUUAAAGUAGAGAAGUUACCUAGUAUAUCUCCAACAAAAAUAGUCAUAUUGUAAAGCCUGUUAUGUAACUAAGGGAAUUGUGGAGAGAAUAUAGAGAAAACAAGUAGCAAUAGAAAGGCUCUUCAUCUGCUUGUAUUAAAGUUUACUUUGUAUCCAUUACAAUUGAGAAGGUAGCCUUGUUUAUAGGCCAAGCCUUGGCUAACAACCAGAGAAAGAAGGCUCAUGGAAGGUGUAAGCAAAUAACGUUCCAACUUGUGGGCUCCACUUGCAGACUUUUACAACACUCUCUCUUGGAUACCACAAUGUAUGGAAUCUGUCUCGUUAAAAACCUUGCCAAUAAAAUUUAGUGGGACAAAAAAUGGUCCAAAGGGAAAAAGAGCGCAUAAUCAUGUGUAACAUAAAAUUAUGUAUAUAUAACACUGACACGCGUGCGACACUGCCUCGUUAAAACCUUGCCAGGUAAAACUCAGUGGGACAAAAAAGAAAAAACUAGAUGAAGGAAAAAGAGUACAAUGUGUGAAAAUCUUAUUGAUGGCACGCUCCCCCUGAUGCUGACAAAAUAUCUUUAAGUCAUGAUGUUGACAAUCUUUCUGAAUGUCGUAGUUGAACACUGCUUCCAUGAAUCAAUCUUGUAAUACUGGUGGAUGCUACCCCUAAAGAAUUACUCCCCUUGAUGUCUUCUUUGAUGAUCCAACACAAAUGAUAUUGAUAUCACAUUUGUACUUCACAAACUGAUCUUUGGUAAUGCUUGUAGAAAACUUGUUGUUGUAACAUCUCUGGAGGAUCCCUGUGUGUCGUCAUUCAUCUAAUUCUUAUUGAGGUUAGAGUAAUACAGAAAAAUAUCUAGGCUAUUUUCAUAAGACUUUCACUGUACACAAUGGUUUGAAUUUCAUAUGUUUUCCAAUAUAAAAAACAAUAAGCUCAUAUUUAUAAUGAUAAGAGCAUUAAAUAUUUAUAUGGUGUUGUUUACCCUUUUUGUAUUUGAGUAUGUUGAAGCCUAAAUAAAAUUCCCCAUUAAUUUUUUAAACACUUAAUGGUUUCUUGAGUAACUUUCUUGCCACUAUUAGCAGAUAAUACCCUAACAGAUUUGAACAACUUUAUAUACUUGCACCCCAAGUAAUAGACUUUAAACAAACAAUUGUGAUUUUGGAUGGGGAAACCUCCCAAGAGAGUUCUUUUCUAUGCCUCAGACUUGUGACGACUUCACAAUUUAUUAAGACAAAAAUGGUAAGCAAAGCAAAAUACACAAAUUUAUGAAGGGUAUAACAGACUAAUCCAAGCAAAACUACUUGAAGCACAAAGUAACAAAUGAAUCUUUAAAUCUACGUACUUCUCAAAGGGGUUGGACUUUGACUUAUGUUUGAAAACAUAGUCGCAAUGAUGACUUGUGAUUAGACUGGACUGAACUUUUGUUGACUAGAUUGAAUGUUUCUGCACUGGAAUUUCAUGUCAGCACCUUCAACUAAUAGAGAUUAGCUAGAAAUCGAUACCAAGUUUGAAGUUUGGCAGAGCUAUAAACAAGUUAAACCUUGAAUAGGCUAUGGAAGUGAUCAAAACUGCAAACGAGUACCUAUUCUUGUUGAUUCUGAGUGAUUUUAAAGCUAUCUAGACAAUUUUAAGACAUUAAGAUGUAUUUGAAAAGCUUGUUGAGGAUUUUGUAUGAUGAAAUACCUGACUUCUUCUUGUUUUAUCUAAUUUGAUGAACCAAAUUUGUCAGAGGAAUUAAUCUCGUUUGAAUUCUGUUUGAUUUACCUUAUCUGGAUUACAAGGGCAAUCUUGGUUUCUUCUUGGUUUUCUGAACUUCUUUUUGAGCUGGAUUGCUUGUUAAGGAAGAUUGCUUGCUUGCUUUUGGUAGUUGUAAGAUCAUAUGAUCUUUGAUUUCUUUUUAUCAAUCUGGAGUUAUUGUUGAGUUUUUCCUUAAUUUGUUGGUUAUUUGUCCCUUCUCCUGUCCAGACACUUUUGUAUUUAUAGGAGAAAAAUGAUGUUGAAGAAAUCUGGAAUUUUUAGUUUUGGACUAUCCUCCAUUUAAUGCACAAGUGGCAAAAGUUUUGUUAGUUAAUGCAUUGAUCGUUUUUGGCACCUGCUCAUUAAUGUUCUUGAAUGUCUCCUGAUCGUUCCUUUUGGAACAACUAAGCUGAAGUGAGCAAUAAUGCCCAAAUUCCUCCAACGUUGGUGUAACACCCGGAUCCAAUUUUAACUUCUCAUUCAAAUUAUUUAAUUUAUUUAAUUGUGAAAUUACAAUUUUACCCUUAGGGCAGGGUUAUUUUGGUCAGUUUUUAAUCCGAUAGGAUUUUGGGGAAUUGAAUGGCACCAUUACUUAGAGUGCAUCGAUACGAGUUCAUAGACAUUCAGUGGGAUCAAAUAAGAGUUUUAACAAAGAAGUUACGAUCAACGGAAGUGCAAUGGCACCACCGUAAAUAUUUCAAAAUUUGAAAUUGAAACACUAGAUUCUCUCUCUCAAUCUCUCCCUCAUGAAUCUCUCUCUCCUCUGUUGGGAGCACCACAACCCCGUCGUCUUCUAACGAUGAUUCCGGGGUCAUCCUUCCUCUCCUGCUACGAAACUGGUUACAAUUUUUUUUCAUCUCUCUCUCCUCUUUACAUCCAUACCAAUUUCCAACCUCAAUUCCAAGGGAUUAAGCCAAAAAUUCGAACGAAAACCCAACUCAAACUGGCCUGUCAAAAACCAUGACUUCCGGCGUUUGUUCUGGCCAACUUCACCGAUCACCAAGUGGGUUCCAAAACACUCCCGUGCCUCCCCUCUGUAAUUUUCCUCGAAGACCCGACUUGAUUUCAAUCCGAAACCAUCGAAUUGAAACCUAGAAGGUGUUUCAACGAGAAAACCAACUGUUCGAGGGCUUUAGCGGCUGAAUUGAUCUUCGAGCAAAGGUAUAAAGUUACUCCCCUUGAUGUGUUUGAUCUUUUGAUAUGAUUAUUGGCCAGCGGUUUGGAGUUUUUCGAUCGCCAGAAAUUUUUUCAAGACACCCGUAGGCAGUGGUGGCUCGUCAGUGGGGUAUCAAGGUUGGGUUUUGAAGCUAGAAUGUUCCCCAUGUCGUCCCAAGCACGAUAGUAUGCUGAAAUUUGAAUUUGGUUGUUGUUUGACGGUCGAUCAAAUUUACAUAUAUUAGGCGUCUUCCGUGUUCGAUAUGUUCAGACCGUUGGAUCGACUCCAUUUCCAACUAUGCUGGUCUAGAUACCUCUCAGAUCAUGUAGGAACUACGAAUUGAGAAUCGGAGUCCCGGAUACUCCAAUUUAAUGGCUCAAAGUUUGGGUAAAACGGUGACCGCCCGAUCGUAUGAUUGUGAGCGAUCCGACCGCUCGAUCUGGACCAAACUUGUAGGACGUGUUUAGUAAGCUUUGUUGAACCCGUAGGGAACUUUUGGAUAGGAAAUUGGAGGUCAUGGGCCCAACAGGCCCAGCUGACCAAAUUUGGGAAGUUUGACCACUUGGUUGACCGAGCGUCUUUCGAGGUUAUUUCACAUUUCGGAACAUGUAGUUGGACCUUAGAAACUUCCUGUUUGUUGUAUACACACCUUGAAUUCCGGGAAAAAUUAGGAAUUUAUUUUAAAGUUUCCAUCCGAAUUAUUUUAAUUAAUCUAGUCCUCGUAUUUUUCAAUAGGCACUUCGGCUCAGCGUACUCAAUAGGGUUAAGCAGCUCUAGAUUAUCUGUGAGUGGACUUUGUUUUUAAAUAAUAAUCAUUAUUUUCAAAGAGAAAAAGCUAUGCAUAAUGAGUUAUUCGAUUAUUGAGUUUAACAUAUUAUUUAUUUAAAUGUUUGAAUUUGCAUAUUGUGAUUAUCUUGAAUUAAUAUAUGCUAUGUUUGAGAGUUACUAUCUGACAGGACCCGAUCCAAAUUCCGCUUUGGAAUUCGAGCCGGACCCUGUGCGUGUCCGACACCUGGCAAAUGUCGGGCACAAAUGACCUAUUUGCCCUUCUAUACAAAACAUGAUAAAAUAACAAGGUUGACGUCUACCGAAAAACCGGCAGAGUUUUCCUUGUAACUGGCUCAAUACCAACAUAUUUACACCUGCCAAACAAGUAUAUAUAUAUACAUCCAACUGCCAGCAUACAUUUAUAUACAGUCCAACCGUUCAAUUCUCAAUCUAGGGCAAAACAUCAGAGCAACUUCUAAGAAUUUACAAAGAAGUGAAUCUUUUUACAAAACAAAAAUCCUACAUCAAAGAAAAGGCGCGGAAGAUAGAAAACGGCCCGGUGGUGGAUCACUGUGCACGUCUUCUGCCUGGGGGAGCAAAACAUGGAAAAGGGUGAGUGGACCUAAAAAAAAAGUUUAGAAAAUAUGAACAUACUAACUCCACUGUAAAAACAGUUGUACAAACUAAAUUAUUCUCUUUAUUUCUGCAAUCAAUGCACGUAUAUAAUUAUACAUGUAAAUAAUCAUAUUCAUGGUCAACAUUACUUUUAAAAACAGUUUAAAACUACCACCUAGGUGUACCCUUUAUUUCCGUCAAUUCCUUAUAUCCGUCAAUUCCUUGCAUCACCAUAGGUGACACAUACUCGCAGGUCUCAGUGACACGAGGUCAGUCCGAGCCGCAACUCGCAGGAUUCAGGGGACCGUGGUCCACCUUUAUCCGCAUACUCGCUCCACACGAGUUCGAUUACCAAGGAACUUGUGGGGCAACUGUCAAGCAUGCUGACUAAACCGAAGGCAACCAAUAUAAUCCGAAGGCAACAUUUAAUAUCUGGGUACAAGGUGGUUUAACAAAAUAUAAAGUUUCGGAAGCAAAGCUGUUAAAUAAUUAACUUUCUGUAACCUUUCAAAUUCUGCUGCCAUUUAUCUGACAAGUAACUAGAAUUUCUUUUCUUAUAUCCGUUAAAAGGUAUUUCACUCGGCAGCAUGUAAAAUAAAACAGCUUAUAACUGAAACUGAACGGCUUAAAUUCAUUUAUUAAAAUAUAGAGUCCACUCACCGGUAGUCCGAGCUCGCUGGACCUCUUGAAGGUCCCUUCUAUGGGUCAACUGGUGCCCGGGUGCCUGAUUCAAUGACCAUAAUAUACUAUUAAUACAAUAUAGUGUUAAUAUAAAAACUCUUACCCCCAGCUCCUAAAAGUACAUGCGUACAAUUAAAGUUAUCUCUAUACCCAUAAAAGCUUUCCUUCCAGUUUAGCAGUAUCUUGGGACUCAAAAAGCGUUAAAGUCCCAAAAAAUCAACCCGAGACCCCACGGGUCCAUGACCUCACAAUAUAAUCCGGAAGCCGCAAGAAGGUCCAAUAUAUCUAGGACACAUGUCCAGAGGGUAUUGGUCUCGAUCGGACGGUCAGAUUGAUCACGAUCGUGCAAUCGCAUAUUUUCCAAACCCUAGCUCUAGGGUUCGCGAUUUUGGAGUCCCUAGGACUCCGAUUCACAAUCCGUCGAAUCCUACACGAUUCUGAAAUUGUCUAGAGUAACAUAUCUGAAACUGGUUACGAUCCAACGGCUCAACCAUAUUGAACCCGGAAAUCGCACAAUAUGGAAAAUCCGUUCGAGGCUCAAACGGUAUCCAAAUUGAGAUCCGUGAAUUCCUACGCGCUCGUGACAACCUAAGGAUCGCAUCAAGACACAGUACCACUGCACUACCCUCGCCCACACGCCGCCGCACGCGCCGGCAGCGCUGGGUGUCCAAAGCGAUUAUGCAUCGCCGGAAAAUCUCGAAACCACGGCUCCAAACUCCUACCCUAGGUAUAACACCAUAUUUGGAACCACUUUUGUUCUUGGACCUACCCCAAAAACUGACCGAAAGUGGCCGAACAGGGAGGCCGAAAAUCAGCCAAAUUCCAAUUUGAAAACUGAGCUAUCUACGGUCAAAAUCGAUGCAAACCUACCCAACCAUCAGCUAGAGCAUGGAAAAUAGGUAGAAAUCCAUACCUUACUCGACAAAUUUGGAGAAGAAUUGAGGGAGAACGAGCGGUUGCAAAACUGUGAAAAACCAGCUCGAGUUUUACAGUUUCCGGCGGCUGGCAGCGGGCUGGGCGGGGCUUGAAGACGGAACCGAGCUGGUCCUUUUGGCACCGACGGCAAGGGCAGGGGUGGUCGGUGGCGAGAGUUCUGGCGAUUGGAAAGUGACGGGAAGGAGGACAGCGGGAGAGGGAGAGAGAGAGAGAGAGAGAGAGAGAGAGAGAGGAAAACUGAGGGAGAAGAGAGAGAGUGAGGGUUUUAAAAAUCUGAUUUUUCCUAAUUACCAUUUUGCCCCUCGUGAUAUUUUAACCGUAUUUUCUUCGUUAAAACUCCGAUUCGAGUCCACUUCAUGUCUGCGAACUCAUUUCGUCGUGCUCUACACAACGGUGUAUGUGGAAUUGUCAAAUUCCUUUUCGGUCAAAAAGUCAACUUUUCGUUAAGAAAUUAUUCCAAGGGCAAAAUUGUCUUUCCUCAUAAUAAAUUACUAAUUAAAUAUGAAUUUUAGGUUUGGGUUAUUACACUAUACUUGGAUGCGUGUUGGGUACAUGGGAUUGGUAGAAAGAGAUUAUGGAAUGGGAUUUGAGUUGUGGUUUAUAUUAAUUUUGAAGUGCUUUAGGCACUACCCUAUGUACCUUCCUGGUUUUGGAAUACAUGGAUUGGAUACUUGGAAACUUUUGGGAUACUUUGAUAUGUCGGAACCCGACCACCCUUGACAGGGUGUUUCGUAGACCCUUAGCAGGAUUAGUCUGCAAGCGUAGGACUUGUCACAGGCGUACAAGUAUUGAAGAUUCUGUUGUACAUGUUGGUGAGCCAGUCCCCCGGUUGGACAACUCAUUCCCUAGCCACAUGGUCAAUUGAGGAUUCUUCUAUAUGGUCUAGCCAAACAAUCCCCCGGUUAGAUUAUUUCCUCAGUACAAGUUUGGUAGUGGUCAUACUUAUGUAUAUAUAAAAAAUUUAUAUAUAUACACACAUAUACUUUCGUUCUUGUUUAUCAAUGAGGAUUCUUUCUUGCUUGUGGUGCCAACGGGCACGCGUUUUGGGUGAGAGUAGUUUGGGGAAAAUGGGUAAGGUUUUGAGUGGGAUGGGUAUUACUAUACCAUUAUGAGAUAUGGAUUUCACUUUGGUUUUGAUUUAGCUAUAUAUAUAUAUAUCGGUUUUGAAUGCAUAUCCCUUUUAGAAUCGUUUUCCAAAUGGUGGGGUUAGUAUGUUGUUUUUAACUAUGUAAAAACUUUAUUUUUGUCCACUCACAAAUUUUCUGUUUUGCUCCCACAAGGCAGUAGUUGAGCUGAGUCGAGCGACUAAGCCGAGUCUUGUACUUCCGAGCCCCAAGUUUCUGUAGGACAAUGUUUACUUGUUUUUAAUUCUAUUGAACUCGUUUCAUUGUAAACUGAAUUUCUUUUGAUAUGCUUGGUUAUCGCCCAUGCUAGGGUUGGAUGUAAGGUCAGAGGCCUAUUAUGUAAAUUGCAUGAUUUUUCAUUGUGCAUGCUGUUGUUGGGAUUUUAUUACUUUGUUUUUUACAAGUUAAAAAUUUGGGAAAGUUUGUUUUUCAAGAGAGACUCUACCGAAAUUUUAACAAAAUGUCUAAUUCCUCUUUUCGUUAAUUUGGAAAAGAAGCUAUAAUGUUAGUAAGUGGACCCGGCAUCAGUUUCAUGUCCGAAAUACCACAGGAUUCGCCACGGAUUUCAAGGAAAUUCAGGGCGGGUCUUGUCAAUUGGUUCCAUAAAUACAAAUAUCCUGGUAGUAGAAAAUAAAUCCGGCGAUCUUACAAUAAAUAGUCGUGAUUUUUGUUUGUGCAAAUAAUCUCACGGGAGAAUAUUCUCUUCUAGAUUCUUCAACCUUCGAUCUUCCUUCUCCCUCUUCCUCGAUUCCUGUAAAAAAGACUAGAGUAAAUAGACCACACCCGGGGGGUGUUGGCCAAAGGCCCUCCGAUGCCUAAGUUCGUUCGAGUGUUUGUAGGAAAACAAUAGCUAAGCAAAGGGUACGGAGUUGUAUGUAGGGUGUAAACCGGGUGGCCGGAGCCAUGUGUGGUGGCCGGAGCUGUGUAGAGAAAAUAUGGAGAGUGGAGAGGGAGAGAGAGCUUCGGGUAUUUUUCUCGGGUAUAAGGAGUAGGUUUAGAUGUACCUUGAAUGAUGAAUGAGGUCGUCUAUUUAUAGGAGCCUUGGGGCUAAGGUUUCGUAGGGAUCGAGUCGGACCUGAUAAUAUCCGAAUUAAAUAUAUUAUCGCUUAAGAAGAUAAUAUCUAAAUUAAAUGAUAUUAUCUUCUCUUUAUUAGGAUAAUAUCUUAAUUAAUGAUAUUAUCUCUUUAAAUAAAGAUAAUAUCAUAUUAAUUAAGAUAUUUAUCCCAAUUAAUUAAUUAGCUAGAUAAACUGGUUUAAUUAAUUAAUUUAAGAGAUAAUCUUCUUUUCCACGUGGCGUGCCUUGAUUGGAGAUGAAAAUAUAUGCUCCCACAAUUUCCAACUAAAGUAAGUCUGACUUCACUUUCCAGCUUUCAUGGUCAUUAAAGUUAUUUGGAGCCGAGUUACCAACAGUGAGGAGUCAUUCUGACAUACCUUAACAUCUAAGAAAUUAUAAACUUUGGGCUAAACUAAUUCAAAUAAUUUUGACCCUUGGAUUAAAUCACCGUUGAUUAUCAAAAUAAUGUGAAUUUAUUUUAAUUUGAUCCCCCUUUGUUUGAAUAGUAUGGGCCAUUCACCACUUUUGGUAAAUAAAGCCCAAUACCUUUUUGAAAAGUGAACCCAAUGCUUAUUUCGGGAUGGUGCACAUAUUUCAGGCCCAAACAGUACCCCUAAGUCUGAAUAUCGUCUCUAAAAAACGAUUUCAUACUUAAUGAUUGGCCUGCCUUCUAUUGAUGUGCGCCCUUUUGAUCUAUUUGCUCCUGCCCACGUCUGUUCAUUGAUUGGACAUUUUGGAAAAGUGGGUAUUAACGAUUAGUUAAUUGGGAGACUUUGGAAAAGCCCAAAGGAGAGAGAAAAUUUUUAAAAGAAGCAAAAAUGGACAAAAUUGCCCUUAUUUAUUUUUUGAUUUCCUAAGAAAUCCUUUACAUUUGCAUGUCUGUGGUUUGAAAGUUGAGAGGUUAUUCCGUCUUUUUUGAAAAAGCUUUGGCUUUUUCCAAAAGUGAAAGUUUUUUUAUGGGUAAAACCUAAAUUUACUUAGUUAAUUCUUGGCAACUCUUCUUCUCCCACUAUCUGUCUUCUUUAGAGUAUAAAGCUGCAACCUACUUUACUCUUUUAAAACCAUCAUUAACCCCGAGUUCUUCAAUUUGUAGAGUAUUUCCAAUCUUUGAAAUUUCAAAUUUCAAUGAAAAAUUCAAGCAUUUCCCUAAUUCUGCCUGAAUAUUCUCGAUGGCUUCUCCCAAAACCCGUGCUAGUAGUUCUUCCUCCUUCCCUCCACCUUAUAUUUCAGGCGAAGGUGUUGAUACACAUGCCAUUGAGAUUCGAAGCAAACUCCGUUCAUAUUCCAAGAAGAAUUUGAAUGAAAAUAUCCUACAUUUGCACGGGAAUGCUAUCAUUAUGGGUUCUGCCUAGUUUGGGAAAGUUUUUGAGGAAAUGGCCAAACUUUUUAAGGCAGAUGCUGAAGCUCUGUUUUGCUAUUGUAAUCCUUCUCUAAUAUUCCAUUCCUCGGUUAGCAAGAAUCUAAGCAGAUCAUACCAUUCUAAUGAAGUGAGGAAUAGCUCUAUGAAGUGGUCAUAAUAGUUUGGCCGACUCUCUCCAAGGUAUGAAGGCCAUUGGAAGAAAGCUAGCAUAUAUGAUGCUUUGCUUCUGUCUAAGCAUUCAAUUAAUAGAUAUGAGAAUCUCUUUGCUGCUUCUUUAUGUUUUUGGAAUUCUGCUACAAACACUUUUGACUUUCGUGUUAGCCCUAUGCCUCCAACUCUGCUCGAUAUGGCUCAAAUAUUUGGAUUUAGGCCACAUGAAAGGCCUGCUGAUGCAUUUGGAGAUUAUCACAGAAGGAAAAAUGGUGAAAGAGUAGCUAAAACGAAGCCUUGCCAUUCUUGCCAACGGAAUACCACUUUCCAACAAUUAUUGAGGCCAAUGGCCUUUAAUCUCCUGUUAAUUUAAUCGGAGUCUCCUCCAUGCUUCUCUGAUUUCUCUUUUUCAAAAUGUCGAUCAUUAUCCAAUAGAGCUAUCUGUUUGCCCCUGAAAGUGGAUUUUUCAAGCAAAAAUUGUGCCAUUGCCUAAACGUGUGGCAACUCAAUCCUGUUAAAAACACUGGAUUUUGGUAUGUCCUGUAAUUGUGCUUGCAUAAUCCUGCUGAUGAUACUUGAUUCUUGCCCCUACUAUACUGGAUGGAUUUAUUUAGAUGGAUUGGAUAGCCUUGUUAAGGCACUAUCCUUCUUCUAUGGUUUAAUAUCUGCAUUUUUAUGGUUAUCUCUGGCUCAUUCACACCUUAUAUUUACAAUAAACAACAAUUCCAGACAUAACAGUUGCCUUUGAUCUAAUCAAAGUUUCCUUGAUAACCCUCCUAUUUUGACAGGGACCUAUCUCCACAGUUGCCUUUGACUGAGAGCGUUUUUGCAUAUCCAUGAGUUAAAAACGAAGAGCAAAUUUACUGGCCAUACUGGAUUGUGAGAAGUGGCUUUGGAGACACUCUUAGAGAGGUGCAGCCGACAGUGAGAGAGAGAAUGGACUCAAAGAGUAUACUGGUGAUGUAGCUGACAAUGAGUUGGUCUUGUUGGUACCACUGAGCACGGGCAGGAUUGGUUUGGGUAAGAGAGAUGGUGGUGAUUGUGGGUGUUACGGUGGUAGAAGUGGAGGUUUGAGCAGAAGGUUGUUUAUGAGUGCCUUCGAUAAAUUUUCAGAGGUCAUGACCGACUCAAAAGAGUUUGAGUUGGCAGAGCCAAAGGAGGUAGUUGGAGUCAGUAAGCUUGAUAAAAUAAGAACAGUUGGGGUUAGGGAAGGAGAUGGUGGAUUCAGACGAAGCCAUGAGGUGGACCUAAAGGAAACGAUUGGAUCGAAUAAGGGAGAGGGAGGAAACCCUAGGUAAGGCUGAUAUCAUGUAGAGAAUAUAUUUUCUUGUAUUAAACAGAAUACACAAAGUCCCUAUUUAUACUGAUACAGGAAAUCAACUUAGGAUAGGAAAUAAUAUAGACAUGAAUACAAUCCCAUUUACAGCAGGAAAAGCUAAUUGCUAGGAGGAGAUUGUGAAGUUGACUUCCGUGUGUACUAGGAAAGGAAAGCUGCGUUAACAUCUUUCUUUGGCCAAUUUAGAUUUACCAUAUUGACUUGAGUUUUGGGAAAAGGGAUUGUAUCAAUAGUGGGGACCUUCUUUGCUAUUUUCAACUUUCUUGAGGCUAAUGCUUCUUAGACAACAUCCCUUAAAACAACACAGCUAUUGGUAGUGUGAUUCAAAGAAUAUUAUGCCACUUGCAAUACUGUCUUCCCUUCAAUUCUUCUGACUUUGGCAACCUGUGUCUAGGUGGUGUAUCUAUAGCCUUCUGAGAUAACAUUUCAUCAAACAAACCGUCUAACUUUGAUAAAUCAAAAGAAUAAACCUUGUUUGUUGGCUGUUUAUUUGGAAUGAAACCUCCAGUGAAGGGUGGUGGUUUUUGAUCCUUUGGUGCCUUUAGCAAAACUUUACAACUUAUUGUCCCUUUAUUUUAGCCAUUUUUGCCACCACUGCCAUAGUUUCCUCUGGUUCUAGCUCCUUUUCUUAUUCUACCUGCACCAAAUGUAUUGAAGAUGAAGGGGUCUUGUAGUAUGUACAUUUAGAAGCAUUCCUCUUCUGUUGUUAUUCCUUCAAUAAUUCUUCAUAUUUGGUGACCUUAUCCGCCAGUUCUGCUAAGUCUCCAAAUAUUAUUCCAUUGAACCUUUUUCUCAAGGAGAUCCUCAAUGAUGUCUGUCCCAUCUGGAUAAAGUGCCUCUCAUAUAUAGGAAUUCUAAACUUCAUUUUCAGCUUUCUGAACCUAGUAAUAAAGUCAUGAGCUGCCUCAUUCUCACUCAGCUUCAGUACAGUCCUCAGGCUAGAUUCUGUACUAGUAAUCAUGGAAAGCAGUGCUUAGCCUUUUUGCAUAAUACAGUGGAUUAGGAUAAGAAAAAUAGGAUUCCUAUGGAAGAACUUCUUUUGGGGGGGGGGGGGGGGGGGGGGGGGGUUUUCCCUUUGGGUUUCCAAAAAAUUAAAAAAAAUUUUUUUAAGGGCCCCCCUUCUUAGAAAUUUUUGGGAAUUUUUUACUCCGUUAAAAAUUGAGAAACCUUCCAGCAACCUUCUUUUUUUUUUUUNNNNNNNNNNNNNNNNNNNNNNNNNNNNNNNNNNNNNNNNNNNNNNNNNNNNNNNNNNNNNNNNNNNNNNNNNNNNNNNNNNNNNNNNNNNNNNNNNNNNAAAGAAACUUGAAUUUUUCAAUCCAUCUGUUUUUGUUAUCCAAAGCAAAAACAAAAAGUACUUGUUUGCUCUUCCCUUUUCCAUUUACUUGUUGUGUAUUUUCAGACUCCAUUUGAGUGCAGCUAUGAAUUUUAUCAUGUCAAUCAUAAAAUACAGCAUAAAAAAUAUCAAAAAAUGUACAUCAUCAACCAUAGAUUAAACAUGACACAUCUUAUGUUGAAUGGAAAAGGACGCAGUAGGAAUUUACAGAUUUGGCAUCCGAACUCUGAUUGGCGUGUAUGAUACCUUUCUGAAAAGGAAACAAUGCUACGAGUCAAACACACUGCUUUGCUAUGACGUAUGGUGGAUUUUGGGCUUUUGAGGUCGUUUAGGCUUCCAAAACAGCAUUUAAAAGUUGAAAUUUUUGGAUUUUCGUUUUUUUAAUGUUCAUUUAUAUUUGUCUCAGUAUUUUUGUUCGAUUAUAGAAAGGUUGUCAAUUAUUUCAAUUUUCUAUCUAGUCGUAUAUAGAUAUUUCAAAAGAAAAAGUAGUAACAAGCAUAAACCCUAGUAAACAAGCAUAAACCCUAGUAACAAGUAUAAGCCUAAUAACAAGAAAAACACGAUGAAGAAAAAAUCAUGGAAAAAGAAAACCCAACAAGGUAUGGAUCAAAGAAAAAAUAGGGAGCAUACCUUCACAGAUGAAGGAAUGAAGAUGUUCAUCUUCGCAGAUAGAAAAGCUAGGGCAAGAGAAAAACGUAUGAUGAAAUACUUGGGAGGGAGGUUGGAUUAUUUUGGUCUUUGUUAUUUAUAACUCUCCCCUUAAAACCUUCCAAAUAUAUCACCUUUCGAAUACACCUAGAUUUGAUUCAACUUUUUUAUAAUCCUAAUUGAAUACACCCAUAUUUGAAUAGACAUUUUAAAAGUUCAUAUAAGUCCGAAUUGAAUACACCCAGACUUGUAAAACCUCUUUUAAAAUUUUGUAUAAAUCCAAAUUGAAUACACUCGGAUUUUUAAAAUCUUUUUAAACGCUUUAUAAUCCUAAUUGAAAACACUCUAUUGGGAUUGUCAUUGCAGCUGCCAUUGGAUUCUAUCAAGCCUAAAUACAUGAUUAAAUAAACUUACAAAAUUUAGAGAAUCUUUCUAUCUUUGCGUGUCUAUUGAGACCGGUUAAGUGUGAACUACUAGGGACUGAAACAUAUUUGUACUUUUUAUCCUCUAAUUGAUCUUUUCCAUGUUUAAUGUUCUCACUUAGAAUUGAAUUUAGAUGGAUAACCUUUAUUUGGAUAAUAUCCAACCCAUACAAGUGAGACAUUUAGUAUAAAAGUUCCAAUAUUUGAAAUUUCCAAGCAAUCUUGUCCAAUUACUUCUGAUAUAAGCCGUCUUUAACAUUAUAUUGGGCAGAAAAUCAGAAUAUUUGGCCAUCUUCAACUUUGUGAGAUGUUCAAAUUUGGUCUACUUCCAGAUUCUAUUUUUGUAUGAAGCAACAAGCUACAAUUAGAUAAUAACUUACUGAAAAAUGAGACAAUAAAGUGGAUGAGGAAUCAAAAUAUAUCAUUACAUUUUCUCAUGUUUCCUGCAGAAUAAAACAUUUAGAAUUGUACAUGGCUUAAAAGACAAAUCUUCUUGUCAUCCAGUUCAAAAUUGGAGUUAUGAUUUUGGGCUCAAUAGUCUUCGAAUCGAGAGUUCAUGAUAUCGUCAUUCGACUGCUUCACAAAUUUUGUAUCUUCGUGCUCAGCUCACAAGCACUUUGACCAUCAAAGAAGGCUUCCCAGAUUCAUAAGCAACAGAAAAAUGUGCAUAUGAUCAAUCACAGCCUCUACUUCAUCUUGACACGGCGAGUUCUUCUGAUCGAACUGAGGCUGAUUUGGAUAUGAACCAGAUUCACUUCAUUUGCGUUCAUUCAUACACUUAAGCUGCAAGUGAGAUGAAUGAAGGUUUCAUCACUGCAGGGGAUUGUGAUACCACCCAUUGGAUGAUCAUAUCCAAAUUCUUCUUCUGCUUGACUUAGCAAAUCCAAGAACAAAGGCUCAUUCAAGUAUGAUAUUGGAACCACAAAUCGCUUCUUCUGGCUCCCCCCAACAUACACUGCAAAGUAGCCUUUUGGGAUGUCUACGGUGUUUGAAGUAGCAGCCUUGUUUAGACCCUUCUUGGAGUUAACAAUUCCUGGCAAUCGGAAUCCCAUGGUUUUUAUAUUCUCAAGUGGAAAAUUUGAACAAGAAAGAAUUCAGAGGACUUGGGAAACAGAGAAGACUUUGAUGCUUGGCAAGGAGAGAGACUUGAGUUGUUGGUUAUGAACCUGAUCUCUUGUGUAUAUAUAGAUGAAAGAGUAUCGCCUUCUACAUGAAAUGAGUGGUCUCGAGGCGCAGAGAUUUGCCCCAGUGAAGGAUAAUAGCUUGUGAGAAAUCAAAACAUAACAUGGGUUGUCUUCCCACUCACAUAAAUCAUCUCCACAUGCAAUGACAAAACUGUAUCCCUCUGUACAAACAUCAUUCCCCACGUCUUAUUUCAUCGAGUAAUUUGUUGUGGUCUAAAGAUUGCUAAUGUGUUCCUGUCAAGAGACUAUGGACAGAUAUGUCUUAACCCUGUUUUGUACUUCAAAGAAGUCUUUUCUAUCCACAUAUAAAGAGUUUGUAGGUGUCACAAAAAAAAUUGUUGGGCAUCAUGUUCUCCAACAAACGUACAGACGUAAUAACUACCAAGUUCUUGAGAAUGAGAUGGAAAACAGACCAUGUGAUCCCUCAAAUUCUCAUGCCUCUUUCCAAUCCCCACCCAAUUGUCCCCAUUUCAGAUAUUUUCCUCUACACACCCUUUCAUCUAUACGUAGACACACACAUACACACAGAUGAUCCCAUAAACAAUUGAAAUCCUGAGUCUUUACAAACAUGAAAUCUAAUGAGACGUGAUCCUAAAAUGAUUUAGUUUCCUGUUUUAUUUGUAUUUAUUUCAUAGAUUUGCUGUAUAUAUUCCUUAUCUCUCAAGGACUUGAUUCUUGCCUAGAAUAGGAAAUCCUUUGUGUAGACACCAAGCAAAGCAUUGUAUAUAAUUAUCACAUGAUUGUUCAAUGAAAAUCAUCGAGAAUAUUCAAAACCUUUCAUGGUAUCAAGAGCCUGAGACUCACAGUCCUCGAUCCUCAAUUUUCUUGUUCCCUGUCUUUUUUUUUUUUUUGUUGGCACCAUGGCUUCUUCCUCGUCUAUUGAUUUUCCUAGCGUUCAUCAUGUUAUCUCCAUUCGUCUCAAGUGUGAUAAUUAUCUGACGUGGCUUGCUCAAAUUGUUCCUAUCCUUCGCAUCUGCCGCUUGCUCAGCUUUGUUGACGGCACUUCUCUGUGUCCUCCGACCAUUCCUGACCCAAAUGCUAAGGCCGAUGAAUCUACUUUUCUGUCUCUCCUCCCCAACCCAGAGUAUGAUGAUUGGGUCCAGAAAUAUCAGCUUGUUUUCUCUCUCUCAUCAACGGUUCCUUUCACCAUGAAGUUCUCACCACCGUAGCUUCCAAGACCAUCGCUGUGACACUUGGGUAGCCCUUGAAACUCAUUUUGCUUCUCCGAAUCAGAAUCGUCUUCUUCAACUUCACAGUAACUUGCUUUGCACAACCUGUUGUGAAUCUUCCAUCACUGAUUUCCUUGAUCGUAUUAACUCGAUUGACGAUAACUUGGCUCUGGCAGGUGCUUUAGUUGCUGACUCUGAUCUCCUUGUGAUGGUUAUGAACAACGUUUGUCCUCUUUAUGAAAAUACCAUUGCCGCUACUCAAGCUCGUGAGAAACCCAUCAAUAUGCCUGAUCUUGAUGCUCUCCUCUUGUCUGCUGAACGUGGCCUGUAGUUAUCUUAUUCUCUGGUCAUGUAUUCUGGUGCGACAGCUAUGGAAGCUUCCCAUGGUGGUCUCGGUGGCUGUGAUUUUGGCGAUUGUGCUGGGUUUGCUGGUCAUAGUCCCGAUCUUCCCAACUCAUUCUCUCCCUCACGACUAGGUUUUACUUCUGGUCGCGGUUUCCCUGGCGCUUCCUAUGGCGCCUCUAGUCCUGCCUCACAUCAACAACAUUUUGGUAGCAAUAUCGAGCUGAGUGUUCUUGGCCCACCUCCUUCUGGCUCUACUGCUUCCUCUUUUGGGCUUCAUUCUGCCCCUAGGCCUCUUCAAUGUUUCAAUUGUCAUGGUUUUGGCCACAUCGCAGCUGUCUGUCCUUCCAAGACGUUUUCUGUGCCUUCUCCUCUGUCUCGUCUUCAAGACAUAACUGCUCAAUAUCCUUCACAUGGUGGCCAUCAACAGUGGGUUGAUGAUACCGAUGCAAACACUCAUAUUACCAAUGACCUGAGCUUCUUAUCCCUUGCUAAACAGUAUCAUGGUUCUGACAAUGUUGGAGGUGUGCUUGGUGGAACAGGUUCGCCUAUUAAAAAUAUUGGUCACUCUCGUUUCUCUCACCUUAAUUCUUCUUUUCAUCUUAAUGAUAUUGUUCAUUGUCUCGAUGCAUCUCUUCCUCUCUUACCUAUUCAUAAAUUUCCCACUAACAACCAUUGUUUCUUCACUUUUUUUCCUAAUUGUUAUUUUAUCCAGGAUUUGGGGACGAGGAGGACACUUUCUUGGGCAAGAGUAGUAAUGGCCUAUAUCCCUUUUCAUUUACACCGAAUGAGUUUUUUCAAGUUUUGCGUGAUCGUGUUGCUUUACUAGGUGUCUAUGUUGACCGCUCUGUGUGGCACUCUCGCCUUGGUCAUCCUGCUUCGUCUACUUUGCAAUUUUUGUUAUCUCAUAAUAAAUUGCCAUCUUCUGGCUCUGUCUAGUUCUUUUUGUCAGUCAUGUACGUUGGGUAAAAGUGUUAAAUUACCCUUUAGUCCUUUUUAUGUCCUUUCUUCUCCACUGAAACUUAUUCACUCUGAUGUAUGGAGUUCUUCAAAUAAAUCUAUUUCUUAUUUUAAUUAUUAUGUUUUAUAUGUUGAUGAUUUUUGUCGUUAUUCUUGAAUUUUUCCAAUGAAAUUGAAAUCAUAAGUUUUCUCUCACUUCAUUAAAUUUAAGGCUUUGGUUGAAAAUAUGUUUUUCACUACGAUUAAGGCAUUUCAAUCAGAUGGGGGUGGGGAAUACACUAGUCAUCAAUUUAAGAAUUUUUUAUCUCAUCAUGGCAUUCAUCAUCGUCUUUCUUGUCCACAUCAUCCUGAGUAAAAUGGUUUAGCCGAACGUAAGCAUCGUCACAUUGUUGACACCGGGCUCACUCUUUUAGCCAAUGCCUUUAUGCCUCCUUCCUAUUGGGCUGAGGCCAAGCACACCACUGUUUAUUUAAUUUACCGUCUUUCUUCUAAGUUGCUUCAGUAUAAAUCACCCUAUGAAUUAUUGUUUCACAAAGAACAUAAUUAUUCGUUUUUAAAACCUUUUGGGUGUGCAUGUUUUCCUUAUUUACGGCCAUAUAAUAAUAAUAAAUUACAAUUUCGGUCUUCCAAAUGUGUGUUACUUGGUUAUUCUUUGAACCCUCAAGGUUAUCGAUGCUUGGAUCUUGUUUCUAAUCAUGUUUUUUUAUCGCGUCAUGUGUUAUUUGAUGAAGUUUCUUUUCUGUUUAACAAGGCACAUGCUGCUACUACUCCAGACCAUUCUCCGUCAUCAGACCUGCCUGUCAUCCUCUCUGGCCCAAGUUUAUCUUCAUGCAGCCCAUGCCUUCCAGUGUCGUAUUCUCUGCCUAGUCUCCCUUCUUUGGUGCCAAAAUUAGGAAGCGGAGAGUGAGAACUCACACACACGGGUACCAUGGGAGCUUGAACCCAAGACCUCUUGAGAGCACACCAAAAGCCUAGGAAAAUCCACCUAACACCCCAUUAGUCGACAGUAAAUAGUUCAAUUGCAUAAAAAGAAAACAAGAAGACUUAAUGGAUAUGAAAAAUAGUUUUUCCAACAUAUUUCUUCCCUCGUAUAAGUACAUUAAAAAUUGAACAAAUGAGAUUCCAAAUUGGUUGUCGUCAUCUUUUAGAUCCUUUUUCUAUCUCUUCAACCGUUGGGAGGGUUUUUUUAUUUAAAUUAUUUUUUUGUCAAAAAUGAUUGCUAAUUAAUUACAGUUUUACUUUUUCUUUUUUGCUUUUGUAAUGAAUAAAGAGUACAAAUGAAACAUCGUCAAAAUUGCUUGACAAAGUGGGCUGUCGUUUAAAAAAAAUGUAGAUUACAAGUUUAAUGGACAAGCAAUUUGUGAUCUAUAAAGAUGUUGCUUCCUAUUGCUUUCACCAUUAUUUCCACCAAAGUAAAAUUUAUAGCUGAAAGUUAGAUCAGUUUCGUACACAUAGUAGAUCCAAAAUGUUACUACCAAAAAGGCUUCAGUUUUAACUUGCUACACUUUGCCUACCACUGGAAAUAUCCAAUUCGGAGUGCAUGAGGGUAAAAUUGAGUGUCAUUAUUGGUAGUGAAAUACUUUGUGAUUAGGAAAUAUAUCUUGACAAUUUGAUUAUAACAAAUGAAUAGAAAAAAAAUUAGAAAUACCUGCAUAUAUAGUUAUGGAACAGUUAGAGAUUGAAAUUUCAACCGGCCAGCAAGAAAGGAAAAGGGAGAGAAUCCCAAAAACAAUAGAAAUGUGUGGCAUGGGAGGAGCCCCUAUUAUGUCACCUCCUUAGUUUUCAAUUAAGAAAACGUAGUGAAAAUAUGAGAAUCCUUCCCAGCCACACAUCUCCAUUGGCCUCUGGGAGGCCUAUCUCCCAUUUCAAGUCAGCCAAUUCUAAGAGUGUAUUAUGCUCUCAAGAUUUAGAGCCCAUUAUUUAUAGGGAAGCCAAGGGUACAUAAGUUCAAAAAAUAACCUAUAGUGCCCAUGGUUUCCAUAUGGUGAGGAAUCUAUGCGCCAUCGUAGUUGUUUCACCACAUGUUUUGACAAUUUUCGUGAGGAAGCGAAAAGGAAAAUUGGGUUGGUAUUCUUGCAUGCUUCCCACACGUCGUAAAAUAAAUUCUUGAUAUACCUAUUAAACCAUUUCUUUUAUCAGUUCACGUGAUGAACACGAUGAGAGAGAUAAAGAGAAACCGGCCGGUUACAUCUGACACCUAUGAACAGAAAAGAAUCCAAAACCGUGAUAGGUUGGUGAAGGGAAGUGAUGUUUUUGGUUUUCCAAAAUUGGAUUUUGGAUUUUGGGGAUAUUAGUACCAGUUUUUGAGCCACUAAAUAAUUCGAUUGCAUAAUCAAACUUAAAACAAAAGUUACAGGUAUGUUAGAUAUGAAAUAUAAUUCAAUUGCCUUCUACUUGAUUAUGAUCUUCCUCGCUGGACUAUGAAUGCUAUUGGGCUUCUAAUUUGUUGCUCCAAAAACCCAUUUACCGCAACGGGCCAUUCAUCGGGCCUCCAUAAAUUCAGGUCCAAUCAACAUUUAUAUGGAGAUGAAUGCUAGAUUGGAAAAUCCAUGAAAUCUGCAGUAUGUGGUGGUGUAGAGGCUAUAUGCUGUGGUGGGGAUGAAUGGGGAGACAUAUGCAUAUGAAGGAUCACAUGGUUCUGUCUUCCACAUCAUCAAGAAUUUGGCAAUGAUUGAGACUUCAUAUCUGUUGGAUUGUGUUUUAGUUUUAAAUCUGAAGUCCUUGCUAGGACAGGAAGCUAGACAAGUUGCUGACUCUAAUAUAUCUUUAUAACGGUAUGUAAAUAUUUUUGUAGUUUGUCAAAAAUAAAAAAAUCUUGUCAUGCACCUAUCAAUAAUACAUUGAGGUUUUUUUUCCCUCAGAUAAUUUGUUUUUCUAAGGGUUUUCAAAAAUCUAGUUUAUGCAAGCUGGAAUUAUGCAAAUAGACUUUGGCAAGAGAAAAUUAAUGUCAUAGCAUAUUGUCAUGAAACAAAUAUUUGUGUCAGGAGUUGAUUUGCAAGAAUGUGUUUCAUCAAAAUUUGAUAACUUAGGAUCAAUCAAGCAUUAAAAAUGCCACUGAAAUGGGCAUGAUAUUUCCCCAAUCUGUAUGAGGAACCAUGUAAAAAGUUAUAUGGUCAGCAUUUUAGUCAAAUUCUUGUGCAAAUCUGCUACCACUUGUGGGAUUAACUAUAUAACAAGGGCUACAAGAAGAUAAUACUAUAAUGCAAACCAUAAGACAAGAAAGGAUGAGGAUUUCAAAUAGAUUGUAUAUUGCUCCUGGAGAACAACAAAGAAGUUUACAUAGGUUCAAAAGACAGAAUUUGACUGCCUUUGGGUGGGGGAUGAUAUUUGGACCAAUGGUUCUAGGGAGUUCAUAAUAUCAUCACUUGUCUGCUUCAUAAAAGCUCAGCCUAGAAGCAGCUUCAGCAUUUGAGAAGGUUUGCUUUCACCAUAAGAUGUGAGUUGAUUCCAUGGAUGAGCAGUGGUAGCCUCUUCUUCAUCCCAACUCAGCGAGUUCUGAAAUGUGGAUGCUUUGGAUAUGAUCAUAUCCAAAUUCUUUCAUCUUGGCUCAGUGAGCUCUGAAAUGAGGAUGGUUUGGAUAGAUUGGAUGACCGAUUCGUGUACACUCACACACUUAAGCGGGAAGUGAGAUCAAGGAAGGUGUUUUCACUGCAGGGGAUUGUGAUACCUCCCAUGGGAUGAUCAUAUCCGAAUUCUUCUUCAGCUUGACUCAGCAAAUCCAGGAAUAAAGGCUCAUUCAAAUAUGAUAUCGGAAUCACAAACCGCUUCUUCUGGCUCUCCCCAACAUAGACUGCAAAGUUGCCUUUUGGGAUAUCUAAAGUCUUUGAAUCUGCUGUCUGGCUUGAACUAGAUAGAGAUCGAAUGAGACUUCUCUUUGCGUUAACAAUUGCAGGCAACCGGAAACCCAUGAUCUUAUAUAUUCUCAAAGGACAAAAGAAGAGAGGGAAUUCAAAGGACUUGGAUUUGGAAAGCAGAGAAAGCUUUGGUGCUUGAGAAGGUGAAGACUUGAGUUGCUCAUGAUGAACUUG